CUUGAGAUUCCAGGUACCAACUUGCCUUUCAGAUGACACGUGAUCUCGCUGCUAGUCGUAGCAAUACAAACAAACAUGGUAUAGAUAAAAUUAACAUCACACCAAACAUAAUAACAAAAUGAAUAAUAAUGAUCUACGCAUUGCUACGAGACUAACACAACUUGAACGGAUCAAAUCGGAGUUAAAACGGAGGAGUUAUGAUUUUCUGAAGAUUCUAUGUGUUUUGUACAAGAUUAAAUGGGAUAUAAAUUUUAAUGUGACUUUCAUGUCAAAACAGUGGUACUAUGUGAUAAACAAUAAUAUUAUAGAAUUAUAGAAAUUGGAACGGACUCAUUUGGACUUAAUAUGAAUUUUCUAUGGAUUUAACAAGAUUUUGUAAUUGUUUUUAUAUAAGAAAUUCAUUUUAUAACUCAUUUUCUCUGAUUUCCCAUUUCCCUGGACUGCUCCUCAAAUAACAGUUAAGACAAGGACCUCUGCGCAAGAAUUCCCGUGACUCAGUGCCCACAGCGCAGGACUGCGGGUUGAAUAUGAAAAAGAGAAGGGGCUCAUUAGAAUAAAUGUCGUGGCGAAGGGGUAUCGGGAUAUCCCCACCGUCCGAUCCCAUGCGGAUGACCCAGAUUAAAUCACUCUCACACGAACCGGUACAUCGCGCCGAUCACUGGAUCCAGAUCCAAUGGCUAACACGUGCCCACGCUACCACCAAACGCCAGCCACAGGAUCAAAUCGAAUGGACAUGAUUUUAACAUAGCAGAUGGACUCCCAUCCGUUAGAUUGCAAUCGAGCGGCCCCUGGUGUUUUCAUCGGAACCGGCAUGUUGUCUCAGAUCUGGGCCACCCAAUUGAAUCCGAUGGUAUAAAAUCUCCCGCUCCCUCGUCUAUUCACCGCCGUCCAUCACGAGAUCGACGGCCACCACCCUUCUUCACCCCGCCGCCCCGCAUAGCAGUCGCACCAAACUACUCCGCACGGCGGAGGCACGCCGGAGCGGCGUCCACACUCCGCCACGGCGCCCGAACUCCAAAAUUUACUACUCAUACUCGCACCGCGUGAGGUAGAGACCGGAUUUAGGUCGUUCCGACGCCAAAUCGCCGCAGUAAGGACCCUACCCACGGUAUCCGGUGACCCACGGCGGAACUGCGAAGUCCGACGAGGCAUUCCACCCAAGCUACGGCGACACAACUCCAAUUCGAAGGCGAUCUACCUUCCCGACUACGCGAUGAACUAAAAGAAACUAUCACAUACCGGUGCUCACGCUGUGGGGGGUCUGGACACGGCGCGGAUUGAAUUGGCGGCGAGGGCGUGACUCCGACGAGUAGUUAGAGCAGCGUCGGUGGCGAAUUCAAGGCGGCACGGCCACCACCUCCCUUCUUCGGCCAUGCAGAGGACGUUGGGCGCAAUACGAAGGCCUGGGUGCCGCCGACUUCCGAGUUCCCCUCGCGGCGGCUCUCAAUUUUCCUCCCCGAGCUCGGCACUAAUGGUUGCCUAUGUUCUCUGCGAAACAGGCGCCAGCUCCCGGUUUUGAAGAGGACGGCGCGGUACGAGGUGCUAAGCUGCGCGUGACCCGGGCGUUCGGCGUGCGCAAAUCGGGUGAUCGGUUGCCCAGCUGCGGCCGUUGCAACGACCCGACGGUCAUGGCGAUCCGUUGAGAUUGAGCUGAGCCCAGCGAACGGGGAAAGGGGAACAGUGGGUUUGCGCCCCACCUGUCAGCCGAAUAACGCGCGCGGCGUGGAGAGAAGAGACGCGGCCCACACGACGGUGAGAGAGCCUCCAUCACACGCGCAGUGGAAGACUGGGUAGUGGGCCCCGCUUGUCGGCGACGGACAGUGCGCGCGCGGUUGUGUUCGGCUGACCCGACGGACCCACCAGUCGGCGCGAGGGUGUAGGUGGGCUGCGCUGAGGGAAAUGGAAGGUGGGCCGGAUUCGGAGUUGGCGGCCCAAUUAGCUAGUUUUCUUUUUUUCUUUUUAUUUUCUGUUUCAUUUCGUUUUUAAAUCUCCAUUUUGAAUUCAAACUUGUUUGUGAGCUUCAUAACUGAGUUAAGUACCUAAAUUAAAAUAUUAGUAGGAACAAAAUGUAUUCUUUCAUAUAUUUAUUUUCCUCUAUUUUGUAUAAUCUCUUCCUUCUCUCUUUUCUUAAUUCUAGGAUUAUUUUAGGAUUUAAAUCCCCAUUUGGAUAUUUAACAUAUUUCUUUUUGCAUUAUUAUAAUAUUGUCACAAAAAUGCACACACAAAUAAAAUAUUCAGCAUGAUGCAAAGAUUUAGUAGCAUAUCUCUUUAUUAAUUGUUUUUUUGGACAUGGUGUUCACAUAUGAUGAUGCAUAAAGAUCAAACUCACAUAAAGAGAAAUUGUUUCUCUAUUGGUAUUUUUUUUCUAGCAAUUUACAAGUGGGUGUUACAUCUAAUUUCUUGAUCCUCUUCCUUGUCUUCUUUGUUGUCAUCUCCCCCUUGAUCAAUGUCCUCCUCUUGAGGUGGCUCAUCCUCUUGAUCUUCAUUUUCAUCAUCUUGAACCUGAUCCUCAUCUUGGGUUGGUGGAGAUGCUUGGUUGGAAGAUGACGGUUGAUCUUGUGCUUGUGUGGGCUCUUCGAAUUCCUUUGGGCACACAUUCCCAAGGACAUGUUCUUUAGUGCGAUGCAUGGAGCCUCUUCAUCAUCUAGCUCAUCAAGAUCAACUUGCUCCACUUGGGAGCCAUUAGUCUCAUCAAACACAAUGUCACAAGAAACCUCAACUAAUCAAGUGGAUUUGUUGAAGACUCUAUAUGCCCUUGUGUUUGAGUCAUAACCUAGUAAAAAGCCUUCUACAGCCUUAGGAGCAAAUUUAGAUUUUCUACCUCUCUUAAUAAGAAUAAAGCAUUUACUCCCAAAGACUCUAAAAUAUGAAACAUAGGCUUUUUACCGGUAAGGAGUUUGUAUGAUGUCUUCUUGAGGAUUCGGUGAAGAUAUAACCGGUUGAUGGAGUAGCAAGCUCUGGCAGUGAUCUGGUGACAGAUUCCUCUCCUUGGUCCAGACAAGACCAACUCCACCAAUACUUCUUCUCCUGACAAGGACACUAAUUUCACAGUCCUCUUAUCAUAGCUAAGGCAUGUUUGGUACUUGGUCAGCCAAUUCAUCCCUAGGAUGACAUCUAUGUCUACAUCACGGGUACCCAUUACUAACAGAUCAGCGGGGAACUCUAUCCCCCUUAUUUAAACUCUUGCACUUGGGAAAAUUUUAUCUGUUUGGGUCCUCCCACCAAUUGACCUAACCCUCAUAGGCAGGUACAUGGGUGCUACUGAUAUGUUGUGUGUUUGUACCCAUGAUGCAGUCACAAAAGAAUGUGUGGCUCUAGUAUCAAAUAACACAUUUGCAGAAUGAGAUUCGACUGAGAACGUACCUAGUGCCACUCCUGGGGUCUCCUGAACUGUGUCGGCCCCCAGGUGGUUCACCUUUUCAUACUGGGCACGGGGCUGUCCACGAUGGUUUGCUCCUUGCUGAGGUGCAUUCUGUCUUGCUGGGGCACUGGGUGCUGACUGCUGUUGAGCUGCUUUCUUUGGCCAAUGCGACGCCCAGUGGCCUUGUUCCCCACAGUGGGAACAUCCUCGGCCUCCUCCUUGUGCUGGGGCUGUCUGAUUGCUCUGAUUGGUUGCUGGGGUAGGAAGGCGAGGUGCCUGGUUGUUCUUCCUCUGGUACUGGUUUCCUCCCUGUUGGUUGUUCUGGCGGUACUACUGCUACUGCCGCUGAGGGAACUGCCUCUGAUACUGCUGUUGAUGCUGACGUUGAUGUUGAUGUUGGUGCUAGUGUUGGUGUCUCUGAGGGUGACUCUGCUUGAACUGCUGGGGUGAAUUGCCUGAAAAACGGGGAUGACUGCUGCUCCCAGCCUGAGGUCCACCAAUCUUGCGCUUUCAGUCUUCCAUUUCCCAGCGCUUCCUCUCAGUCAUUAUAGCUCUAUCAAUGAGGUGUUGAAAGGUAGGGAAGGUAUGGUUCAUCAACUGGUAGUGAAGGGGGUCAACCAAACCUCUCAAGAACAUGUACUGCCUCUUGGCAUCAGUGUUGACAUCCUUGGGUGCAUAGCGAGAUAGUGCAGAAAUUUGUCCCGGUACUCACUGACAGACAGGGGGCCUUGCUUCAAUGCCACAAAUUCUUCCUUCCUCACUAUCAUCAGACCUUCAGUAACGUGGUACCAGCGAAAGUUGUCUCUGAACUCCUCCCAAGUGAUAGCUUCAGGGCCAGCAUGGGUGGCGAGGUAGGACUCUCACCAGGAUUGGGCUACUCCCUGUGGCAGCCCUCCCAAGUUAUCAGGCCCACGUGCACCAAUCCUUGCCUUGAUGGACUCAGAUGGCUAUGCACGUGUACCAGGUAACUUAACAAGCCUAUCACGAGUUCAACAACUUGAACUCAUCAUCCCAAGGAUCUCCCACCAUACAUGCAUAUUACAGUAAUCACAUUCGAUACACACACUUCGGAGAUAAGAGCGGAAGACUUUACAAAACAUUCUUUUUAUUUCUAAAACUGAAGCUUAUUACAUAGGAAGAGUUACAUUUAUUACAAGUCCUGAUAUACUCAAAGUGCAUAACUUAUUACAAUAGCAGGAAGGUAGGAACCCUCCAAAGCUUAUACACAAGCCUAACUAAUCCUCCCCCAGAACUGGAAACGCCCUCCAGCCACAGGAACACUUAGAGUACUUCUCAUCACCUACAACAACAUGGGUUCGAAAACCCUGAGUACGGAGUGUACUUUCGCAAGCCUUACCCGACUAAGGGAAAAUGACUCUCAAGGAUAUGCUGGUUAAAUAGGAAUCAAGGAAAAGGCUUUAGCAAGAAUCAACUUAGAUACUUUUGCAGAAAUAGCUUACUAAAGUGAGUCCUUACUUUCAAUAUUUUAACGCCAGAUUAAAUAUUAAUAGACUCUGGUUGCAUCUAGUAUAAUUUCACCAUCUCAUCAAUACAACAUCAUUUUUAUUCCUAAUGUUUGCAUCCUGACUUAGGUUGCAGGGCAGCGAUCAAGUCUCCACUCUUCGGGGAUAUAACGGUGAUCCGAAUCGAUUUACUCAGCUGAGGAUCUCUAACCACAUGACAUAUGUAGCACUUAACCUUUGCAUAUGUCAACCGUUCCCACGGAUCCUCCACUGCAUGAACAGGUCCGCGCCACCCGAGAGCACACCACCCCUUUUAGGCGGUCCUUUGCCAGGAGGGUACGUGCCACUCUCGCCAUCUCUCCACUCCCAGUGCGUGAUUGUCUUUUCAUGUAUGGAAUAGCCGGGUUCAAGCUUACCCUGUCCCAUAUCCAGGGCAUGUGGCCAGUUAAGAUAGUCCUUGAUCAUACAUGCCUACAUACGCAUCCAAUCCUUAAUUAACCUGGACGGAACAUCACCUGUUCCUAGCCCAAGUCCUGAUUUAAGUACUUCCAUCCUUAGGAUUGUCUGUGUUCCUUAGGAUGAAAAGAGCAUUAUAGGGAACUUUGCAGUAAGAUCCCACUAUGCUCCCAAUAAAAAUAUAUUCUUGCAGGUAGAAGCCGUCCUUUCUCAGGAUAACCCCUGAGCUAGGCAUUAAUGCAAAAGACAACCUCUAUCCACAAGAUCUAAGCAGGGCUAAGCAUUUUUGUAAAUCAUAUUUUGAUACUUCAUCAGAAGUAUCUAUAAAGGUAUGGAUAUCAAGGUAGGCAAUGCAUCCAAUAGUUUCCAAGCAACUCCUAUAAACUUAAUGCACAUUUCACUAGACUUAAAGUGUAUAAAAAUCUUUUAAAAACACAAGGAAGGGGUUGCAUGCACCGGGGCUUGCCUUUGUUGCAGUGAGGAGGUUCUAGAUCCUUCUACCCAACCUUUAGUUAGAUAGCUCCAUCCACUUGAUGAGCAGGCACUGGAGCAGACUCCUCUUCAGAAACUACUUCUUGAAUUUCAUCUUCUUCUGGGAAUUCUACAUGUAAAGAUAUGAACAUGAAUGCUUAUGCUGAUGCAACUUGAAAAGAAAAUACUAAAAAACAUCACAAGACUUACACCUCUCUAAAGGUGCAUACAAAAACUAACAAAACUUUAAGAGAGCUAAAUACUCUAAUAUCACAACACAAUUCACCAACCAAACUAGGAAACCUUGCCUCCAUAACCAACCAAGUGCUUCAUUUAUGCCUUAAGCAAGGAACCAAACUGCAUGUACUACAAGUUAUAGUGUCCAAGAAUCAGCCAUAAUUCACUGAACCUGUUUUCAGUUCUCUGAAUUCAUAUUCCAUUGCUCCAUUCCUCUCCCUCUGUUCAGUGCUUUGUAACUCACAAAUUCCCUCAACAACAAACCUAACUCAUUUACUCAAAGUUAUUCUCUAGACAUAGCUCUACCACUUUGGCAUAGCAUCCCCAGACUGAAACCAUACUAAUCAAAAGUUAUGAUGCCACAAAAUAGAGCAAAAUCACAGAAAAGUUCAGUUUCAGUGAACUGAAACAGCACUGCACCCACUCUGGCAGAGAAGUUUGGGAUACCUUUUUACUGCCAACUUAUACAGUAGCAAGCCCAUUCUUUGUAUGAAACUUGUUGUCCUUGAUGUGGUCUUUUAUCUGGAUGUGGAAUCCCUAACCCAAUUCUCUUGGAGUAAUUAUCACAAGGCUCCAAAGUUAGGAGAAAAACACAGGAUCAUAGUGACAGAAAUUGAAUCAGCACACCACUGAUCCCUUACAGACCUCCCCGUUCAGAUCCCUUGAUCACCUAAUUUCACUUAGCAACAAAUCAAGUCAACUUAACAAAAGUUAUUCUCAACCCACUGGUCAGCAACAACCAUUUAACAGUGCCUUAGGAUAUUAUUACAGGUUGCAGGCCAUCACUGAAUUUGUUCUGGCUCAUACUGUCAAGACCAACAGAUAAGGAUUUACUGCCCAGAAAACAGUCCAAAAUCCUGGAUAUUUUCAAUAGAGAGUAAGGAUUCUAGACCUCAGUUAGGAACCUCGACUCUAUCUCAAUUUAUAUUACCAUAUGAGGCAGAACAUGGAGAUAGGGGCCUACUUUAGAAUCCUACAUCAACACUAAUCACUCGCACCAGCCCUGCUGCCCCAUCUGCACACUUCCAUGUUCAGUCCCUGAUAUCUCCCAAUUCCCCUCAACAAGAGACCAACCUUUCUUAACCAAAAUUACUCUCCAAUUAUAGCCAUUCCUAUUUGGUAUAACACUCCAAGGCUCAAAAUACUCAGAACAAGAGUUGUGGUGCACUGAAGUUGAGUAAAAAAUAAUAAAAUAUCCUGUCUCAGCUAACUGAAUAGCCCCAUACUAACUUUGUCAGGGAGUUUUGUAGCACCAUUUUCUCUCAAAUUGGUGUAGUACCAAUCCAAGCUUCCCUAAGUAAAGUUGUUCACUAAUAUUUGGUCUCCAAGUUUACUAUAGAAACUAUAGUAUAAAGUCUCUCAGAUUAAUCACCAAACAACUCCAAACUAAGCACCAUAUGCUGCAAUACAGAUUUCAGAAAUUGAACAAACUCAAUCUUCGGUAACCUGACAGCCCAACUUUAGGCAGCUUUUACUCCAAUUUUCAUAUAACAUCCAACAAGACUGCCUUAAGGAGAUUUGUUCAUCAUCAUAUGAGCUUCACUAUCUGAUGUAGAGCACAAAACAUGUAUAGCUCGGCUAAGGAAACUUUGAAAGUUACCUGGUUACGGCGAGGUGGACUAAUUGCCAACGAUGGUCACCACCUAGGGACUGGGCAAACUUGGGCAGGGGAGAGGUGAACACUGGUGUGGACAGAAGAUUUACCACCCACACACACGCUGCAACCUGGCUGGAGCUUGAGGAUAAGGAGGAAAACUUCCCUGGACCAAGUUUUAUAGCCACAGAUUAAGGACAGAUGUCACUGAACCUGUGCAGUGCAUGGAGGUGAAGAGUUCCCAGAGAUGCCAGCACAACCUGGGCUCCAAUACGUGGCUUUCAUGCAUCAAAUACUCACCAACUGACAGGCACAAUAUAGACACUGAAUCUGGACAGCUAGCACACAAAUAUCCCUUGUGGAUAUGCUCUAACAGCCCAAAAUAUCAACCUUAUUCAGUGAACACAGACAGUCAGGCGUGUGGCUAAGAACACCACUUGUGGCUAAGCACAAAGAGGUCCACGACUUGAUAUUUCUGCUGGGGUAGCCACUAAAGUUCCUUUGCUGCCCAGCUCAAUCCACCCAAGGCUAACAGAUAAAGUCUCCCUGUUCACUACCUUCAAACAGUCCAAAACUGGAUAUUCUUCAGUAAAGAGUGAGCCCCAAACUUCUAAGCUGUGCAUUUAAUCCUUAUCUCUACCCCUUCACUCAAAUAUAAACACAACAAGGAAGACAGAUCUUCUUCAGUUACUUGAACAGAAUCUGAACCCAAUUCUGAAUCAGCCUCAUCAGCUCUAUUGUCUUGUUGCAUACCUCCCUGUUAACCCCCUUCAAAUUCUCAAUUUCUCAUAAUAAUAGGGAGAGCAAGUUUAAUAUAACUUGUCCACUAAACAACCCUCUACGAUUCCUCCAAAAAACCCUUAAGCUUUUACCCCUUGGAUCAACCAUCAACUAGCUCCAAAGUCUAAAGAAAAACACUGAAAAUUCAGUUUUAGAGGUCUGAAACAGCAUACAUUAAUUCUGACAGGGCAAGUUUGGGGGCAAUUUUACUCACAACCUUUUACAGUACCAGGCCCACUCACUUCAAGAGACAUGUUUCCCUUCAUAUGGACUUUGACUUUACUACAGAACUCUUAACCAAAAUCUCCGUAGAUUAAUUAUCAUAGAGCUCCAAACUGGACAACUUGCUGCCAUUCAGGGUUCAGAACUGAAUUAAAAUUCAGUUAUUAACCAACCUGACAAUCCAAUCUUUGAACAACUAUUUCUUCACUUUUUGUAUGGAAUCAGGUCCACCAUCCUAUAAUAAAGUUGUUCCACAUUAUAUGUUCUUCACUUAUUCUACAAACACCAUAACACAAAACCUUAUAGAAUAAACAACUAUUUCUUCACUUUUUGUAUGGAAUCAGGUCCACCAUCCUAUAAUAAAGUUGUUCCACAUUAUAUGUUCUUCACUUAUUCUACAAACACCAUAACACAAAACCUUAUAGAAUAGCCACAAAUAAGCUUCAAAACUGCUAUCAAAACACUGAAAUUCAGUUUCAGUUACUGUUUCCAAUCUGAAAAUUCAGAAAUACAGCAGCACCACAUGGAACCACUCUUUUUCCUCGGUCCCAAAUGUUUUUAGGGCAAGUUGCUUAAUAAAGUUUAUACUCUUAUAGUUCCUCUACAAGUUUGAUAUAGUAACCAUUAACCUAAACCUCUUGAAUUCCAAACUACAAUAGCCCAAAGUUUGCUCCAAUUGCUGAAAUUUAGAAUCUGAAUUUCACUAAGUCUGAAAUCCACAUUUUUUGACAGCUUUACUUUGGAUCAGUUUUACUCAAAGUUCCAAAUAGUUUUAGAGCUAUAUGACUUAACCAAACUUAUACUCCUCAUGUAGAUCUAUAACUUUGUUAAAAUGAUCAUCUUCAAAAUGGUUCUAGAUAAAAAGUUACAAAGGACUAAAAAAUGCCUAGUUGCUGCGAUUUUCAGGAACUCCAAAACUGAACCUUUGUGAAUUUCUCCAAAUUUCUUCACACAACUUGGAAAUAUCCAAAUAACAAAAUUGUGCAACUUUGGAAAUCCUAUCAACUUGGUAUUUUUACCUCUUGCAAAAUGUGGCUAGAUCUCCAAAUCCACUUUUGGGUUCCAGUUUAGGGGUUAGAGAUACUCAACCACCCUAAGUACUUCACCACUUCUAAUACACAUAUCAAAAGAAAACUUAUCCAUCCUCCUAAUGCAAAGUUGCUCCUUAAUCUCAAAUCCAUCUUUGGCUUAUAGAACUCAGGUCCAAAGUAUCCUUGAUUUAGGAGUUGUUUGCUUACACUCAAUUCCAAUCAAGGUUUUCAAGCCUUAGGAUUUUGAAGUUAAUCCUUCGGUCCAAGUAUUUCUUCCACUUGAUCUAUCUUUGAAAACAAAUUUUCUAUAGACUCUAGGAAUUGCCUAUAGCACUUCAAGACUCCAAGUUAAUUUAUUACUUGCUCAAGGGAUGACCUACUCCUGUUUAGCUUAGGUCCUAAACUAGGUCUUCUACCUUGCACACAGCAUCACCUUAUUGUAAAAUUUUUGAUCUGGUGAAUGCAUUCUAGGUGUAACAAGCAAAUUAAUGCUUAUGAUUACAUGUCCGAGUUUUAGUUCACGUAACACCAGGGGUGUUACACUCCCCUUAUGUGAGUGCAUCUAAGACGGGCCAUCUACAAAAGAUGUCGUAAGCACAAGAGUGAGAAUAGAACUAUAUGACCAGCAAGUAAACCAUAAGCAGAAUAAGAUAAAUUUUUUUGUAAGGUGAGUAUAUAUAGUAGUAUAACAUAGAAUUGGUCGAGAUGACCAACUUUUGAAGUAACACCAAGGGUCAAGGUGAGAAUAUGGGUCUAUAAUCCUUAAAGCGACCAUUCUAGUCUAGGUUAAUGGUCCUACAGUCAGCAAGGCUUUGAUACCACUUAUGUCACACCCGGUUUUGGAAGGCAAACCGAAUGCAAACCAUGUACGUGCCAGGAUCAGAAAUUCACGUACACAACGAUUACAUAGUUGGACAUCAUCACACAUUGCUCGGAACAAAAGAGGAAAUAGUACUUUAUUACAUCAAGACGUCCGAGACAUCCACAGAGUCAUUACCUUAAGUCAUAAUCAUAAGGCCUUCAUAGGCAGCUGACUGGGGGUUUGCUACUAAACACAACUAGAACUCAUCGAAGUCCUGAAACUCCUGAAAGUCCUCCAUGUUGCCUUCAUCUUCUUCUGAGCACUGUUGCAAUGGGGACAACCUAGGGUUGGGUGGUUUUUAAAGCAAGGGUGAGUACACAUCAACGUACUCAGCAAAUGUCCCGUUUCGCUAAAGUGGACUGUCUAUAUGUUGAGUUAAGUUUAAAGCAGUUGCUUUUAGUUGGUCAGGUAUUUAUUACUAGUAGAAAGCCAAGUUUUAGUAAUAAACCCAAGUUUUUACCCAAAUGGCACUCCCUCCAAAAGGAAAUACCAAAACACCAUAGUUAUAAUCAUCAUUAUGAAGCAUCAGCAUAAAAGUAUCCAAAGUUAUUCUAAUAAAAGAGGAUGAUAUACCAGUUUCUGACACUAUGUAGAGGUUGCACACUUUACCCACGAGCCGUGAUUCUCUUCUGCCCAGAGAGCGCUACUCCCCAUUGACCACUACCUUGGUGGCCUAGUAGGGUAUCACUACAUAGCCUUUACGAAGAUUUCCCUGGUAUGUAGUUGCUCGUUAGGUUUCGCCAGUCGUACAAACACAAUACUCCUCCCUAAGGUGGGUGACUAACAAAACCAAAUCGAAUGAACCUCGGCACCCACCCUUAGCAUAGCAAGCACUAUGCCCCGACCCCCAUUGAUGGCACAACGACAAAAGCCAACUACACCCCAAGCUCAUCCAAUUAAUCAGCUAAGGGCGUCCCAUUCCACCCUCAUGGUUGUACUGUUAUCUCGGGUGGUCUCUCAACGAACAGGUCCUUACGGAGAGGUACUUAGGAAACAACCUGAGUCCCCUAAAGUAUCACAAGUUCAUCAUCGUAAUCAAGAUAACAUCAUCGUAUCAUAAAUGUUCUCAUCCUGUUCAUUGAUUAAAGUAAAGCAAUAGCAUAAAGCUAACCAUAAUAACCCAAAAGGUAAUCAAGGACAAGGUAAAUAGAAAGCUAGUCAAUCCUUAGGUUGAUCAUGGUAUGCGGAACAUUGAAUUAUAAAGUAAAUAGGACAUAAUGGGUCAGAGGACACUUGCCUUCACCAGGUUGCUGCUCAGGGAAGUCUCCUACAAUACACUCGGAAACCUCGGACUGCUCGUUGUCUACGCAAAGUAAUUAUUCACUCAACACAUUUGGGAAAUGACAAAUAAGCAGUACACCAAACAUAUGCAACAGAGUGAACACAAGUUCAAUAGAAAAGUAUACACACAAAAGUGAAUUCUAGGCUCUAGGGUAGACUGAUACAUCUAGAGGUUUGUGAUUCUCUAAGUACUGUCUAUCUCUGUGGAUUACAUAACUUAACUAUAGUUAUCUUAAGGAAUUACCAAAGUUAUUCCAGGGGUGGGAUCAUGUAUUACAUGAGAUUAAUUUCACAAAGUUAACCACUUAACUAUUCAUUGGUGUUUCCUUUUUAUUUUCCUUUUAAUAAAUAUUUCAUCACUUUAAAUGAACCUAUUGUCUAGUCAUAAAAUUCAGACAUGCAAACAAUGAAAGAUUAUAAUUUAAAUAGAUAGAGAAUAAUAUUAUGAACAUUUUGCAAUUUGAACCACCAAUUUGAAGUUCAUAUGAAAAAGAUAUGAAAAUCCCAAGUUCUAGAAUUCAAAACACUAAAUUAGACCCAAUUCUGUGAUAAAAUAAAGGUCGGGGCUUAUCUGCAAGAAACCAGGGGCCUGAGUGCAAGAAACAUGACUGUGGGUUAUAUUUCCAGAAAACCGAGGGGCUCUUUAACAAAAUAACCAAGCGAAGGGGUACAAGAUGUCUUCAGCCAUCCGAUCAUAGAUCGAUGGUCGAGAUCAGCCCGGAGCGCAUGCGCGGGCGCGGACUGACAAGCGAGCCAGGGAAGUCAGCGGUUCUAGGGUGAGGCAGGCUGACCAGCCAGGCCCAGUUGAAGGUGCGCGAGUGAAGGAACGGACCCGAGCGACCGGAUCCCGAACGGACGAUUAUGAUUAGACCUGCUCUAAUUAAAUCUUGGCCACUUGAUCUCAUAUGGACGUCUGAGAUCCCUUGGCAAGCCUGGGCAAGGUCUCCCUGGCUGCCAGCGGUGGCGUCGCCCGACUCUAUGGGAGAGCUCCGCCGGAGGCGAGGGCGCGGGCACACCGGGGGCCCUGGGGCGCUAGGAAGGACUCAUGUGGGUUUGGGGUGACGCGGCGAACACAAUUGUGGGCACGACACUGGCGCAGGAGCACCGGAGGGUUGCGGUCCACGGCGGGUUGGCUCGGCGGCGGUGCAACUCAACUCCGGCGAGCGAUUACGCAGAUACAGGGGCAGGAAAGGGGAAAUCAGGGGCAUAGGGAGGUUUGUUACCUCGAGAGAGCGCUUUGGGACCUUCGAACGACGGCAAGGAUGUGGUGAGGCCUCGGGUCAAUGGCGGCAGGGCUCCGGCUGCAUGGUGUAGGUCCGGUGAGUGCGAGUAGAGAGAGAUAGAGGGGGAAAGGGCAAAUCGAGGGACGUCCCAAGUUGCUGGCGUUGAGGCAGAGCUCACUGGGGCAAUGGACAUAGCGGGGACUCGACGGUGGCCGCAGAAUAGGUCCUAGACCAAGGCGGACGACGGUGGAGCUUCUCUGGUGCGCGCGCGGUGUGAGACAGGUGCUAGGGUUCUACUAGUGGGCGAGUGAGGGAGGAGGGAGAGCGAGUGGGGUGCGGGCAUCUACAAAUGGUCGGGGUGGGGGCGGGCGUGGCCUCGUCGUGAGUCGUGGGCGCGGAGUCCACGGCGUGCGAGCGGGCGGUUUGGGGGGGGACGGGUCUGAUAGGCGGGGUCCAUGGGCCAGCGAGAGACGGUGCGUGAACGUGCGGUCAACGAUGACGGGCGGGGCCCGCUGCAAAGAGGGAGAACGGUGCACUCAAGAGAGAAAAAGGUGUCGACGGGACGGCCCCACCGGGCAGAGGGAGAGAGAGGAAGUGGGGAUGCACGGACGCGGGUUGGCACCGACAGGCAGGGUCCGCCUGUUAGGGAGGGAGCGGGCGCGCGCUCGAGGCUGGACCGAGAUGAGCCGGCUGGGCUGAAUUGGGUUUUCCUUUUUCCUUUGAAUUUCUAAUUCCUUUUCUUUUUAUUUCCAUUAUGGAAUUCAAAUCAAAUCAAACCACAAUUUAAAUUCAAAUAUUUCAAACAUGUGCAUCAACCAAAAACAAAGUCUAAGCUCAGCAUGAUGCAAACAUUCAUAUCUCCCCUAAGUUCUAAUAUUCUAAAGAAAAUAAUAUACCUCUCACAUAACUAACCCAAAAUUCUAUUAAAAAGAAUAGAAAAGAAAAUCUAUAGAGAUGAGAAAAGGAGUAACACCUGAAUUUGGUAGGUAUUAGAGAAGAAAUUUUAUACCCCUAAAUUCAGGGUGUUACAGAGUUAUACUCACCAAAGAUAACUUAGCAAGAUGUAAUUGGUAGGGUAAUAAAAGAUGUGUGUUUUGUGACAGUGAUGAAACGAUACAACAUUUAUUCUUUCGCUGCCAAUUCGCUUAUCAUCUCUGGCGUCACAUCCAUUGUUGUUUUGGUCUGAGACCUCCAUGUUCAAUUCGUCAUGUUUUUAGGAAUUGGUUGAUAGGCGUGGACCCAAAAACUAAACAACUUAUUAUUACAGGUGUUUCAGUUUUGUGCUGGGCUAUCUAGAUAAGUACAAAUGAUUUAGUUUUUGACAAAGUUCCAAUGCUAACAUUUUUACAGGUGGUCUUCAGGGGAACAUACUGGCUUAGGUUUUGGGCCAAGCUACAGAAAAGUGAAGAGAAAGGUGACCAAAUAAAGUCCGCUUGCCGAUAGUUACAGAUAGUGGCAAUGGAGAUUUUUGCUCAUCAUGGAUGGAGGUUUACAUAUAGAAUUGCAUUGUAACUAAAUUACCUAUCCCUUUGUUUUCUAGUUGUUUUAUUUUGGAGGUUUGUCCCUCCCUCUGUUGCAGACAGAUGAGCUGCUAAUUCUGUAAUAAGUUUGACCCUAUCCUCGUUAUGAGGUGAAAUCCAGAAAUUUUGGUUGCAUUAUCUAAAAAAUAGACAGCUAAGAAACUUGAUGAUACAAUUCUAAGUCUCUAGAAAUAUUAUGUAUCGAGAGUCAUAUAGAGGCAGACUUUUUACAAAUAGCCCUUCUCUUGAUUUUUUUCACUUAGCCCCUUAGAGACGUCUCAAGAGACGUCUUAUUUAUUUGGAUUGUACAUGCUCUUAGUAGCUUUGUUUUAUAUCCCGACUGCAACAUUUUUUCUUGUGAUUUGUACUGUACGCAUUAAUUAUUGGCCUAGAGAUAAAUGAUUAUUUAGGAUUUCCCCUCUCAGCUACAACUAACAUGCUCCCUUUCGUCCGGAUGAGCUAGUCGUUUUGAGUUUUGAGUUUAUCCUAAGUCUAUUUAAAUUUUGAUCAAUAAUAUAUAUAAGAUUAAAUUAUUUUAAAAUAAAAGAAUUACAUACAAUGAUAGUUCAAGCCAUGAUAAAUCUAGUAAAUUUUUUUAUAUUAUAAAAUCUUAUAAAACAUCUAACAUAAUUAAUCAAAGUUAAUAGUGAUUGACUUAGAACUAGGGGCGGUAAUUGACUUUACAUUUUGCACUAUAAAAUUUAAGAAUCAAAUCGAAUUAGGAUUGAGAUAUAUUUAUAUUCAUUUUUGAACUAAAAUUUAUUAAAGACCCUAACAUUUGGUGAAGAAAUAUUUGGAUCAUGAUACAUUACCAACCGUAAUUAGGACAAACCCAAAAAAGACUAACUAAUGUGGGAAUACGAGUACUUUAGCAUGCAUGUUGCUCAAGGUUGUUGAUUAGUCUGGCUAAUUAAUGGCUCCGGAUGAAGAGCUGCCCUGGGCCUCUCCACACAAGCAAAAGGCAGCUGAGGUCGAUGCAUCAUAUUGUGAUUUGUGAAGUAUUUACUUGUAAUAGCUGCCUCCAAUGAAUGCCCGUCGUUACUCAUAUAGCUCUUCUUUUGAUUUAUUACAAGUCCUACCCGUCUUUGCACUUGCACCUACUGAUUCAUGGUCAGUCGGCAGUAUAAAUUCGUCAGCAUGGAGUGGAGUUGCAUUAUUGCCCGAUAGCGAAGACAUGUUCAGCCAGCUGAUGACCCAGCUAGCAUUUAUCCUUUAUGUAGAUCUGUAGGCAUGAGAGGCUUCAGGAUGACUGGACUAUAAGUUUUAUAGUAUUAUAUGCGGGUUGGUUAGCAAUUUGCCACGGACGUCUUUGAUAGCUACAGCCGUAGUCCUGUAGUGAUUUGACUAAAACGCGCAUAGAACACGCUAGUACUGUGCAGACUUGGUGUCAACACAAGGAAACAGAGAUUGAAUGAAGAUGGGGGCUUACCCUUUCUUCGAAUGAAAAGGAUGUUACAGAGCUGCGGCAGUAGGCCGAGUCGUAUGAUAUGAUUGAGAGCCAGUUGGAGACAAUCCAUUCACCAUUAGAAGGCGAGGCAGACGAUUCUACAGUCUAAAUAGAGAUAAACCUCAAGGUUGUAAUUCAUGAACACAUAGUGGAAUGAGAGGUGUUGAGCUCGUAAAGGGGAAAGAUGCAAGACGACAUUGACUUUGGUUCACAACUGUCAAAACUAAAGGAGAACAGGAUGCAGUGAAGACCUGACCGAGAUGCAGUGAAGACCUGGCAAAGGCCAGCAUAUGGUAUUUUGAAACUGAGCUAUGACGUAUAAGUGCACAUCCAACUUAUGUAAAUAUGAGAAUAUGUCUAUUCUGAACUCGUAGUGUUUUAAAAGUUUUUUACCCCAAAUAUAAAGUGUUAGAUGACUUCGAAAUGCUCAAAAACUGGACAGACAACAGAAAGGCGAUGAAAUAUUGGAUUCUCAUAACUACCGAUAUGUGUUUUCUUUUCUUUUAUGGUGAAUGUUUGUUAUAUUCCGAUCUGUAAGAAUGAUACUUUUUGUUUCCAUUAUAAAAAAAUAUACCGACGCGCUGACUUGCACACCAAGAUCAGCCCGCAUGCCCUAACAACCCACGGUGCAUCGAUCCCUACGCACCCUGCGCUCCAACCGAACGACUGAAAUUGUAUCAGUAACGAAUGUCUGAAAGUGUAUUGGAAUGACAGAAAGUGUAACAUACCACUGAAUGAGUGAAUGUAUAACAUUAUAAUGGAAUGACCGGAAAUGUAAUAGAUUGAAAUGACAUAAAUUGUAACAGAAAUUUUAAUAAAAUGACUGAAACUAUAAUGAAAUUGUUGGGGACCUUCGGCGUCCGAAGGUCCUCAAAAACAGGAUUUAACAGUAUUUCUGUAGUACAAUGUGUGAACAGGUAUCCUCGGACUAAAGUCGGCAUUGCAGUAGACCGGAAUAAUACGAAGGUUGAUACAGAGCCGAAGGUGUUGAGCAGGAAAGCUUCGGCGUAACAGCAAAGAGUGGAACCGACUUAAAGAUGAAAAGGCUAUUCAGACCUCGAUAGACUACUAUAGAGUUAUUAUCAAAUGUAAAGGGCAUGAAUGUAAUUUUGCAAGGGCUGUGUCCCGUGUCUAUAAAUAGGUGAACAGUAUCCCCGUACUGUUCACGCUGACUGGGCAUUCGCUUUUUGCGUCACGCUUGUAUUGUCAUUUCCUUCCGAUUGAAGGUACACUUGUAGUUCAAUAAUAUUUUUGUUUAUGCUCAAUAAUAAUAAAUGAUUGUUCAUGUUUUCUUUUACAUUCUUUAUAUUUCAUCCUUCGUCAUUGUUUGAUGAAUUUAUGAAGGUAUGUCCUUCAUAACCUUCGUCCGCAAGUCAUUACAUCCUAAGGGAAAUAAUGCUUCGGAGGACGAAGGGCAUUAACGAUUAACAUUUUCUAUGUUGCCUUGUUCUUAACUCUUAGCACUUGAGAACAAGUCCCCAACAUUGGCGCCCACCUCCGGUGAACUCACUUCCAUUUCUUGAGCUUUUCAACACCUUCGGCAAGCAUCACCUUCGUCAUGCCGCCGAAGAAGACUUCAGCACCAGGGGCUGGCACGCUGCAGCCGCUGGACCCCAAUCAAGACGUCCUUUCUCUUAGAGAGGCACGAAGCCAGAAGAGGAAGGCUACCAGUCCAACACCUCCGGAGGAUGAUCUAGAUCAGGAGAUUCAAAAUCUGGAAAUCCUUCAGCAGCAGGUUCAACGCAAGAAGGAGAAGAUGGUCAGGCUAGCUGAACUGCAGAGGCAGAUAGACGAAGCCUCUGAAGAAGUUCGUCAUCUUGCUCAGGAUGAGCAACACCGAAGGCCUCAGCAUCAAGAUCUUCAUCAGGAGGGUUUUCCCAACGAAGAUGACUGGUAUGACAAUUUCCAUCAUGGGAAUUUUGUUUUUGAUGAUGCUUCUCCCCUGUCCGCUGAGCUGCAGGCUACACCUUGGCCUCCGUCCUACAAGCCGCCUCAGCUCCCCGUAUUUGAUGGCCACUCAGACCCGAAGCAGUUUUUGAUGAGCUACGAAGCAACAGUGUCUUCGUACGGUGGCAAUGCUUCAGUCAUGGCCAAAUCUUUCGUUAUGGCUGUCAGAAGUGUUGCUCAAACCUGGUAUUCCUCCCUUCGACCAGGAACGAUCACUUCAUGGCAGAAGCUGAAGGACUUGUUGUUAACUAGCUUUCAAGGGUUUCAGACGAAGCCGGUCACUGCUCAGGCUCUCUUCCAAUGUACCCAGGACCAUGAAGAGUACCUUCAGGCAUAUGUCCGAAGGUUUCUACGAUUGAGGGCACAGGCGCCAACAGUGCCCAAUGAGAUUGUCAUUGAGGCUAUGAUCAAGGGGCUUCGGCCAGGGCCGUCAGCACAGUAUUUUGCCAGGAAGCCACCACAAACACUGGAAAAGUUGCUCCAGAAGAUGGACGAAUACAUUCGAGCUGACAAUGACUUUCGUCAAAGAAGGGAGGAGGCUUUCAGGUUUUCUGAAAUGACCAGGGGCUUCGGAGGAAGGUUUUACCCGAGGCAUGUCAGGUCAAUUCACAAUUCUACUCAGAAUGAUGAUAAAGGGAGUCAGCAACAAAGGCCACAAUACUCCUCACAGGCUUCAGGGCAACAACAAAGCUCCUUCCGACCUCCAGCUCCAAGAGGCAGAGGCGCCAGGGGUUUCGGAGGAAGAUUUGGCGAUCAACCGAGAAGAAUCUUUUGCUUAUUCUGCGGUGAGAACAAAGGCCAUACUACCAGGAUGUGCCAUGUUACUAUUCAGAAGCAAAAGGAAAUAGCUGAAGCAGCAGCACAACAGGCUCAGCCGAAGCAGGUCAUGCAUACAGCUUCGUAUCAUUCGCCCUACAUCCCAGAAUAUGUGGGUAAUCAUCCUGCAGUUUCUGUUGCUUCGGCGAGCCAGCCUCAAGCUUCCUGGCAACAGCCUCCGCCUCCACCUCCGUUGCAGCAAGGCCAGCAGCCAGAAGGGAGCCAGUAUACCCCACACCAGAGGGACUUCAGAGAGCAGUCCGAAGCUCGUACAGUCAAUAGCACUGUGCCAGAGUCUAAGCACAUCUAUUGACGAAUAUCCUACCUUAAUAGCAAUCUUUUUCAUUCAGUUUUAUUUUCUGAAAUAAAGGACAUUGUUUAGGUUUCGUGUAAUUAGUUUCGUUGAUUCCUACAAAAAAUAUGUUGUUUUCUCCACAGGCUUAAAUUGAUCGAAGUUCAAAGACUUGUGAUAAUAAGAAGGACCUUCGAACUAUCAAAAAUUCUUCGAAGCAACAAAAAGUCGUUCUAACGAACGCAGAGUAAGUUUGACGAAGUCACAAAAAAGCCGCUCCGAAGGGAGUGCAGUGUAAGUUUUCUGCUCCAAAGUCGUUCCAAAAGGAAUGCAGAGCAUACAGCGAAAAGUCAACGCUGAUACCGCCUAAGUAAAAGGCGAAGAAGCUCCAAAGUCGUUCCUAAGGGAAUGCAGAGUUUACAGCGAAAAGUCAACGCUGAUUCCGCUGAAGUAAAAGGCGAAGAAGCUCCUAAGGGAGGCUUAUAGCGAAAAGUCAACGCUGAUUCACAAAAAGAUUGUGUUUUAUCGCGCAGAUAUGCGUGUACCUUCGGACUAUCACCUUAUAUAGCAUAACAUCAUCACAUCAUUUUUGCAUAACAUAAGCAUCAUACAUCAUACUGCAUGUGGCAUAAGAAAGAGAUAUGAUAUCAAUCUUCGGGAAAACACUUUGAAAAAGGGGCAAAUCAUGCCAAGUCACAAGGAGAAACAAUAUUGAUCUCUGAAGCAUAGCUUUGAAGAAUGUUUCUACGAAGCUUCAACACUUUUCAGGAUACUUCGGAUAUUGUUGUGAUAAAUGGUAAUUCUUCUUCACGAAGCAUGAAAAGAAGGGAAGGUGUUUUUUCGCCAAGGACUCAAAAACGGUACGUAUGUAAAGUUUCAUGCAUCGUAAAGAAUUGAACCAUAAAGAAAAAUAAAACAAAUAUAUUUCAUACAGGAUUACAAGAUAUUACACAUGUUACAUUUAAAAUGUUUUUACAGUAGCAUUUAGUCUUCCCUAAGUACCACUUCUGCAGCUUCGUUCAACAGUCGAUCGACAACUUCAUCCAUAAUAGCUUCAGCCAUCUUUUUAAUUUCAUCAUCACCCCUAGGCCGAGCACCCGGAGAUACUUCAGUAGGAUCUGAGGAAGGACAGGACACGGCUACAUUGCUAUUACAAAUCGUAAACAAAUCUUAAAGCCUAAGAUUACAACACGAUAAAAACUAUUAGUUAAUACCUAAUUGACCUUCGGCCUCUGCGCUCUUUUUAGCAGCCUCAGCUACUUCUCUAGCAUCGUGAAUGCCCUUUUCACUUCUUCGAAUAAUUUCUCCGGCCAUCUCUCGGCCACCAUUAUCCCAGAUAUCAGUAAAAAACUUUCCACCAAUUAUACUAGCUUCGGCCGAAGGAUCUUUUGUAUCUUCAAAGGACAACGCAGCUUCGGAUUGUGCUAAAAAUUUUACAUGUUCGCAGCCCUUCUUCUCUAAGAUAGUGGCAAUCCCUCUGGCGCCAGAGAAGGCACAUAUAUCUCCUCGGCUAUUUAAAAUUUCUUCGAAGGCUUCGGCUUCGUGGUUAAUCCAUUCGAUGACACCUUCGGGAUUGCCUCUUGAAAAAUUUUCCUCACUUGAGAAUGCGCCGACCUUGGCGAAGCUAGCCUUUAAUUUCUUAACACAAUCUAUAGAUUUGUUGUAGCAUCUCUUUUUGGACGAACGAAGCUCUUCAACAGUCACUUCUAGGUGAUCUGCCCAUUGAUCGCUGAGUUCACGCUUUGUUUCUUCAAGUAUGCGUUCUUCCUUGGCUCUGGCCAGUUGUUUCCGAAGGUCUUCAAUUUCGCGUUUCUGAGCUUCAGCUUGACUUUUAAAAGCAGCUUCGUCCUCCUUUAUUUUAUUUAUCAAUGAGUAUAAUAUUUUGUCUUUUUCGAGAUCUUCGUUCCUCAGUUCAAUUACUUCGGAACGAAGGUUGCUCAGGGCUAUAGUACAACCUUCGUCUUCAGCAUCUUUCUGUGCCCUGAGGGCAUUGCUAAGUAUCAGGCCCUGCAAAAAGAAAUAUGUGUGCGUCAAUAGGUUUUAACAAACGAAAAAUGUUGGACUCAGCGAAAAAUACAAAAAUUUCAUUUGUCGCACCUUUAAGCUAUUGUAAGCCAGGCUGUCGGCCAGAUCGUUCUUCGACAGCACCGAGAGCCCGUCUUCUAAAGUCGGGAAUCCGAAGCUCUUGCUCAUCUCCCGGCAGACAGAAAUCUCCUUGCUGUCGGGAAGACAAUACAAGAAGUCUUCUUCUCCACUGCCAUUAAAUAUUAACGCCCCCUUUGGAUAUUUCAGUUUUUGGGCAUAGUGCUGGGCUUCUUGUUCUUCUUUUUCUGAUAAUUUUUUCCCCGAAGCAUGACGGAAAAUAUAAUCACGAAUUUUGGGGGAUGCUUCGGGGGCAACAACACCGGUUUCUUCAACAAAAAUUGGCUUUGUCAUUUUUUCUGCCUCACUUUCCAAGGGUUUUACCUUUGCGGGCUCUGAGGGCCCAGCUUCGGCUUCAAUCUCUUGCUCUGGAGCUGUAGAACCAGAAAUUUCAGUUGCUGUUUCAGGAGCGACAGCAGCCUUCUUCGGAGGUGUGCUUGAAGAUUUGAUUGUUUCCAGUACAUCUAGCACAUUAGCCAUUCUCUUUCUUUUCGGAGUUACGGCUGGCACUUUUUCAUUUUUUGCUGUCCCAAUGUUUGCUGCAGGACUCAAAACUUCUGAUGUUUUGGAGCCUUCAGUUGCUUCCUUUACCUCUUCCAUUUUUUCUGUGGAUGGCGCUUCGGCCUUCUCUUUCGUUCCUGAUAACAAAAUUUUUUGUUCCAAUUUUGACUUUAUUGGCACUUCGGCCGUUUCUGCGACUUCUGGCAGUAAAGUUGGCUCGGUUGGUUUUUCAGCUUCGGAUGCCGAAGAAGUUUCUCCGGCAAACUCAGGCACCGAAGCUGGUUCAAUGUAGCGCGGCCGAUGCGUAAGAACCUUUAUUUUCUUCCUUUUCGGUUCUGGCUCGCUAGGAGCAGCUGCAGCUUCUUCUUUUGCAGAGGUUGUGUUUUUUCUCUUCUGCCUUCGAAUGGGAUAGCAAUAGUCAGGGUAGACAAACCCGAUGGCAUCAAAUACCCGAUUCAGCCUCUUAUUUUUUCGGCCUCCGAAGGCUGCUGACAUUGCAGUAUCUUCGGCCUUCGAAUAGGUCCCAAGCAGCUCAUCACUUAAAUUGUCAAUGCUUUUUAACCACUCAUCAUCCGGCUCAAUAAAUUUAUCUCCAAACUUAAAAGUGUACUUAAACCUGAUAAGUCCACCUUCGUCGGCCUCUUUAAUGGUUUCUUGUGGCAUUUCCCAUUUCUCCGCAAGCGGCCACACCCUGAAGGCGAUAUGCUCUUGUACUAAGUCCCUUGUUCCUAUAAAAGAACAGACAACGCCGAAGGCUCUUUGGCACUCUUCGGCGGCUUCAUUCAUUUCAACCUUCGGCCUGCGAAGGCCGAAGCUUUGCCAAAUAGGACGGAUGAUUAUACCUUUGAUGUCUUCUCGUGCUUUCAGAUCAUUUUUUACAUAAAACCAUUCUGUCAUCCAGCCGCUGGGCCACCUCUUCCGAAAAGUUGGCACGGGGCAGCUUGACCUAGACCGAGAAACAAAAUUGUAGCAGCCAAAGUUAUUGUGAUACUGUUCCUUACCCCAAGGUAUUGUCUCGUAUGAUAAUUCGUGCAUAUUGCAGAAACUUUUUGCAUCAGGCUUCAGACCUUGGCUUCGCACGGCCCACACGAAGAUGUUCAGCCUUAUGAUUGCCUCGGGGGUAAGUUGGUGAAGAUAGACUUCAAAAAUCUUCAGCACCUCCACGACGAAGCUGCUCAAGGGCAAUCACAGCCCAGCCUUCAAAAAGCUUCGGAACACUACGACUUCAUUCUCUUCAGGGUGUGGACAAGUCUUCUCCCCUUCGUCGGCCCUCACAACGGACAGAUCCCGGAAAUACCUUCCUCUCAUGUUAACAAGAUGAUUCUCUUUGAUAGUUGAUUUACCAUAAACUGAAUGGCUUGGUCGCCAGGGACGAUCUUCGGAGUCUUCGCCACCGCUGUCCACAUCAUAACUUUCACUGUCACCAGUAUCUUCAGACAAACCUUCCAGAAUCUCCUUGGUGAUUUUUUCUGUGUUGGUCUUCGACAUCGCUAUAAGAUACCCUAAGUUCUUCUCUUCAUCAAGACUCAGCUUCAUCUCAGCAGCAGCCUUCUUAGCAGCUUCAGACAUCUUCAGAAACACUAAAAAACUGUUUUCAAAGCCGAAGCUUCAAAGCUAAAAGCUUAGCAAAUCACAGUGCACAAGAGCUAAAAAUUGAGUGAGCGGGAGUGGUUGGCCAGAAAGCGUGCAAAAUGAGUUUGCGGUAUGGCCGUAUUUAUACGCUCGGUGCGUUGAAAGCUGAAAGACCCCACUUGUCAUUGAAUGUUGCUAUUCUAGCAAAGGGAAGGUGUUUUUUCGGACCUUCGGCGUAAAGCCUUCGUCCAUAUCGCAAUCUAAAUUUAUUAUUUCAAACAAAUUAAUAUUGCGAGGGGCUACUGUUGGGGACCUUCGGCGUCCGAAGGUCCUCAAAAACAGGAUUUAACAGUAUUUCUAUAGUACAAUGUGUGAACAGGUAUCCUCGGACUAAAGUCGGCAUUGCAGUAGACCGGAAUAAUACGAAGGUUGAUACAGAGCCGAAGGUGUUGAGCAGGAAAGCUUCGGCGUAACAGCAAAGAGUGGAACCGACUUAAAGAUGAAAAGGCUAUUCAGACCUCGAUAGACUACUAUAGAGUUAUUAUCAAAUGUAAAGGGCAUGAAUGUAAUUUUGCAAGGGCUGUGUCCCGUGUCUAUAAAUAGGUGAACAGUAUCCACGUACUGUUCACGCUGACUGGGCAUUCGCUUUUUGCGUCACGCUUGUAUUGUCAUUUCCUUCCGAUUGAAGGUACACUUGUAGUUCAAUAAUAUUUUUGUUUAUGCUCAAUAAUAAUAAAUGAUUGUUCAUGUUUUCUUUUACAUUCUUUAUAUUUCAUCCUUCGUCAUUGUUUGAUGAAUUUAUGAAGGUAUGUCCUUCAUAACCUUCGUCCGCAAGUCAUUACAUCCUAAGGGAAAUAAUGCUUCGGAGGACGAAGGGCAUUAACGAUUAAUAUUUUCUAUGUUGCCUUGUUCUUAACUCUUAGCACUUGAGAACAAGUCCCCAACAGAAAUGAUUGAAAUUGUGACAGAAUGACUAAAUAAGUGAAUGACUGAGACGGUAAUGGAAUUAUUGGAACUGUAAUGGUAACAGAAUAACUGAAACUAUAAUAGAAUGACUGAGAUUGUAAUGGAACAACUAAAACUGUAACGGUAACGCAAUAACUGAAACUAUAACGGAACAGCUGAAACUAUAACAUAAUUACUGAAAUUGAAAUGGAAUGACCGAAAAUGUAUUAAAUAACAAAAAAUACACACACCAAAUAAAAAAAAGAUGUAAAAAUGUCGCUCCAAUAGAAUCGUCAUCCACAGACCUAAUAAACGUGUUAGGCCCUGUUCGGUUGUUUCGGAUUGGAGCCCCGGAUUAAUUCCUAGCCGGAUUACUUCUCUAAUUUAUAUAUAUUUUGAUGAGCUGGAAUGAAUCCUGGCUCAUUCUGGUACAACCGAACAGGCCCUUAAUCAGAUCCAUUUCGCGGUAUAGUUCUACUGCUGACUAGUUGGUUGGUUAAAAAGUUCGGUUGGACCGUAGGUCUAGGUGAUGAAUCGAUUGGUUCAUUAUCUUUAGUGAUAAAUAGAGUCUAUAUAUAUAACCCGCUAUAGUUUGGUUAGACGUCUAUGUGACCCUCUGUCUUACAAACCUGAAUAUUUAACCCCUUAUCUUCACAAUAUACUAUCCACCGGGAGACUUUUGGGAUUAUAAAACACGACAGAUUUGGCUUCGUCGAAACGGUAGCUUUUGGGAUUAUAAAACACGACAGAUUUAGCUUCGUCGAAACAGUAGCGUAGGCGAGGGUUUCGACGAUAUAGAAAUAUAGAGAACACGAAGUCGUUGAUAUAGACUCACAAUCGUUAUUAGCUGUUGAGGAGAAUCAUUAAUCAUCCUCCGUCGCUGUCCGUCCGCACGCGGUUCUCUUCUCCCGUCUCUACUCUGUUCAUUGUUCGCGACGGCCGGGCUGCUGGGGAUGAACAGGGGCGCGCUCUCCUUCGUGACGCAGGCCAGCACGUGCCGCUUCUCGUACUGCAUCUCCGACCGGGACGACGCCGGCGUGCUGCUGCUCGGCAACAGCGACCUCCCCUUCCUGCCGCUCAACUACACGCCGCUGUACCAGCCCACCCCGCCGCUCCCCUACUUCGACCGCGUGGCCUACUCCGUCCAGCUCCUCGGCAUUCGCGUCGGCGGCAAGCCCCUGCCGAUCCCGCCGUCGGUUCUCGCGCCGGACCACACCGGCGCAGGUCAGACGAUGGUGGACUCCGGCACGCAGUUCACCUUCCUCCUCGGGGACGCCUACUCCGCCGUCAAAGCCGAGUUCUUGAAACAAACGAAGCCCCUCCUCCCCGCGCUCGAGGACCCCAGCUUCGCAUUCCAAGAAGCGUUCGACACCUGCUUCCGCGUGCCUAAGGGGCGCCCGCCGCCGUCGGCGAGGCUCCCGCCCGUGACCCUGCUGUUCAAUGGCGCGCAGAUGUCGGUGGCGGGGGACAGGCUGCUGUACAAGGUCCCCGGCGAGCGCCGGGGAGCCGAGGGCGUGUGGUGCCUGACGUUCGGGAACGCGGACAUGGUGCCCCUGACCGCGUACGUGAUCGGGCACCACCACCAGAUGAACCUGUGGGUCGAGUACGACCUGCCGCACUGAGUGGCGUCCAUCGUGGAGGAGUGGACCAGCGAGGUGUUCGACCUGGAGCUGGUGGGCGACACCGCCGCCGGGAUAGCCGCGGACGAGCAGCUCAUGGACACGCUGAAGCUCGCGUUGCACUGCGUCGACCCGGUGGAAGAGAGAACUCGGUGGAAGAGAGAAGAGAAAGGAUGGAGGCAAGUCACGGCAAGGUCACGGCGUUAGAUGCAGGAGCUUAAUGGCUCGUCUCUAUGCAUAAAAUAGAUUUUGAGUCUAUUUCGUCGGCUGCGCGACCCGUGGAUUUCUAAAUCGUCGAAUGCGUCUCCAACGCCUCUGUUUCGACAAAGCCGAAUAUGCAGCAUUUUAUAAUGGCAAAAAUCUCAUUACCGGAGGCCUGUUUUGGUGGCUAGGAGGACAGUGUCGAGCAUUUUUUUUCCUGUCUGUCCAGCGUGUCGCCUUGCCCACCCUUUUCACUCCCCACGAUUGCACUUCAAGCUUGCUCUGUUUGACACGGUGACAUAUGGUCCCGCCUGUCAGCCUCGAAGCAUAGGGAUGUGAAUUUUAAAACUGAACCUGAACUCAACCUAAAUAGACUGGACUAUUCGCUUCGGAUUAAAACAGACUAUUUGGAUCGCAGCUGUAAUCUAUAGAGAUAAAAACACUGUAAAAGUAGUAAAAACUGGUACAGAUAAAGCCAAGCGAACACCAGCGAGAGUGAGGCUAUUGGAAGCCUUGCGCUUCCAUAGAAUAUAGGAAGCCUGGAUCGACCGACCCACACCAACGAGAGUGACGCGAUAGGCAUCACCCAAGGUACGAUAGGUAAGGCCGUGCACAAGACGCUAUAUACGACUAUGUAAAACACUAUUUUACAUCGUAGAUUUUAUUGUUUACGAAGUGGAAUUUUAUAUAGGGGGUGGGAUAAUAGGUGUGAUAGGGAGACUCCUAGAUAUAGCCUAAAAAAAAUAACAUCCUAGGGCUACUGCUGCAGCAGCUUUCUGUUGGGACCAACUGACACGUGGAUAGGUGAGCCCAGACAAUCGGUGAAUGGGAGAGCUCAGGUGCACAACGAGACAGUAGGUAAGGAACUAUAUCGUCUUGUUAUGCGUGUCCCAUCCAUGUAUAGAACGAGGGUAUUUAUAUGUAACCAGGCAUGUAGUUGGGUCACAAGUACCGUUAUACCCCUGGUUACAUGCUACAUUCCUAGAAUAUUCUCCGCAACGGGGUCAUACGGUGUGGUAAUGUACAAUAACCUAAACAUACUCUAGAAUCUACCCCUCGAAGGGGCUUACAAGUGGGUCUAGACCAUAGUAGGGUGGAGCUUGGGUCCCACAGAAGCCUAUCGAGGCUGUAACGCCCCGAAUUUGAGAGUUAAAUUUUUUCUUUCUCCAUCACUCGCCAAAUUCGGGCAUUACCCUAAGGUAUCACAGAAUCAUCCACAUAAUCAGGAUAACAGUAUCGUAUCAUAAAUGUUCACAUCAUGUUCAUUGAUUUAGUUAAGGCAAUAGCAACAUGCUAACCAUGGUAACCAAAAAGGUAAACAAGGAUAAGUGAAUAUAGACUAGUCGAUCCUUAGGUUUCAUAAAGUAAUGCGGGAUAGUGAAUCAUAAAGUAUGUAGGACAUAAUGGGUCAGAGGACACUGGCCUUCACCAGGUGGUUGCUCAGGGAGGUCUCCAACAACACUGUCAGGAACCUCGGACUGCUCGUUGUCUAAAUAAAGCGAGCAUGCAUUCAAUACAUUUGGAAAGUACAAAUGAACAUCACACCAAACAUGUACAAACAUUGGAACACAUCUUAAAAAGACAUAAUACUACAUAAGGGAUAAUGAAUUCAAAGUAUAACAUAAACUAUGACAUACAUUAACUUUAUUUGAAAAUAGAUUAUUAUUUCCCUAAGUGUUAUUUACAAGUACAUAAUCAUAGAUCAAUUUAUUUUAUUGUGACCUAUAAUUUAGAACAGAGAUGUACUCAUGCAAUACCUAUCAUUAAUCUCACAAGUUUAAACAUGAUUAAAUCUCUAAGGUUCUCCUUUUAUUAAAUAAAUAAAACUACAUCUAUAUUAGUUCAUAUUCAAUCAUAAAAAUUAGAAUGUGCAGACAGUAAGUGAAACCAUUUUAUUUAAAUAGAUAAUAAUUCUAUGAACAUUUUUCAAUUUAAAUCACUAAAUUUGGAGUUCAUAUGCAAAAGUUAUGAAAUAAACAAGUUUGGGAAUUCAAAAUAUGAAAUUAGGGCUAAUUCUGUGAAUAUUUAAAAGUCCAGGGCUAAAUCUGCAAGAUUACAGGGGCCUGCGCGCGAAAACUAGGGACGGCGGGUUGAUUUCCAUUAAACCGAGGGUCUCUUUAAGAAAACUACCGCGUGAAGGGGUAUCAGGUGAAUCUAACCGUCAGAUCUAAAACCAACGACUGAGAUUAGAUCUGCGGCCAAGGGCGCGCGCGCGAGCGGGCGAGCGCUGACAGACGGGCCAGGGAGUGUCAGCGACAGAGGGGGAGAGCACGCUGACCGAGCGAGCCCAGCGCUAGAGGGUUUGGGCGCUGAUAGGCGGGCCAGGGCGGCAGGGCGCGCGUGUGUGAAGUGUUAACCGUGAUCUGGGCAGUUCAAUCUGAAUCGGACAGAGGGGAUCAGACCAGGGGGAAACAGACGGCUGCAGGCGGCGCCGCUCCUCUCCGCGGUGGUCAGGUCACCGGAGUUGAGGCUGGCGUGAGAUAGGGUGGCUCCGGGGUCGCCGGAGUUGGGCAGAGAGGGAGAGAACGCCACGACGAACUCAAUGGCGAGGACGAGGCCAUGAAUCCACGGGCAGAGGGGGGAGAACGGCGGUGAGGAAGCCUCGGGCGGGCCGGAGUAACUCCGAUGAGCCAUUCCGGCCACGGCGAGGGGACUUAAGGCGCGCUAAGGCCUGGGCUAGCUUCAGCAGAGGCAGAGACACCUUGGGGACUAACACCGAGGAACUAGACCAGGCUAAAUCGGCCGGCCACCACAUGAGCACGGCGGACCGCCGCGACCGAGCACCGGCGAAGGCGAAAUUGGCCUAGCACAGGGCGCAAUAGGGGAAAUUGGGCACGGGGACGGGUGUCUCACCUCGGGGCGAAGCUCGAGGAGGAUUGGAGCGGUCUCCGGCGAGCUGGAUGGCCGGGAACGCAGGCGCGGGUCUCCGGCGGCGGCUGACGGCGUGGGCAGAUCACGAGAGAGGGUGAAGCUGAGCGAAAUGAGUCGAGGGGUGUGUGUGGGGCACUAGCGGGGCUCUAAGAAGGGAGCUGGGCACGUGGGUGGGUGUCGUGGCCGAGAAAUCCGGCGACAUGCGCGAGUGCGCACGCGACGGUCCACCGCGAGCGCGGAGGGGGCGGAACUGACAGGGCAGGCCCACGGCGCAGAGAGAGAAGAAAAGGGGUGCGCGGGGCAACAGCUUGGCGACUGGCGAUCCGGGCCCGCGAGAGAGAGAGAGAGAGAGCGUGUGCAGGGGAGAAAAACGAGCGCCGAUAGAUCGACCCCACUAGGGAGCGAGCAAGAGAGGGAGGGCGCGCGCGAGGGAGAACUGCCACUGACAGGCGGGGUCCGCCUGUCAGACAGCGCGGGCGCGCGACCUGGCUGGGCUGACUUGGGCCGGCUAGGCUGCUUUACCCUUUCCUUUUUCUUUGAAUUUUUUAAUUCCUUUUCCAUUUCCUUUUCUAUAGGGUUUUCAAAUCGAAAUUGAAACUAGGUUUCAAAUUCAAAUAAAUUCAAACUUGUGCAACAUUUCAAAGAAUAUUUUAAGCUCAGCAUGAUGCAACAUGUCACAACUCAUAAGGUUUUGGCAAAAAUAAAUAAUUAACCUCCACUAGUUUAAGCUAUUUCUAAUCAAAAAGGAAAAAGGGAGAAAGAAUCUAGAGAGAGAGAAAGCCUAGAGUGAGAAAAAGAAGAGCAACACAUGAUUUUGGGUGAUAAUUAGAAAGAAAUUUAUGCCCCCAAAAUCUGGGUGUUAUAGACCUAUCCCCCUUAAAAGAAUCUCACCCUCGAGAUUCAGGGCUGGCUAGAAAAGAGCUCAGGGUACUUGGCUUUCAAAUCAUCUUCUCUUUCUCAGGUUACUUCUUCUUCUGAGUGGUGACCCCAUUUGACUUUGCACAUCCUGAUGGUGUUCCUCCGGGUAACCCGAUCUACUGUCUCCAGAAUUUGGGUUGGAUUCUCAAUAUAAGUCAGAUCUUCUUGAACUUCAAGAUCCUCUGCUGGCAACUGCUCUUCUGGCACCCUCAAGCAUUUCUUCAACUGAGACACAUGGAACACAUCGUGCACAGCUGACAAAUUCUCUGGUAAACUGAGUUGAUAAGCCACUUCUCCACGUCUUGCUUGAAUCUGAUACGGUCCGAUAUAUCGAGGUGCUAGCUUGCCUUUGACUCCAAACCUUUUGGUUCCUCUGAUGGGUGACACCUUUAAGUAGACAUAGUAUCCCACUUCAAAACUGAGUUCUCUUCUCCAGGUGUCAGCAUAGCUUCGCUGUCUGGACUGCACUGCCUUUAAAUUCUCUUGGACCAUUCUGAUGUUCUCUUCGGCUUCGAGCAAAAUAUCUAGAUCGAACACGUGUCUUUCACCAGGUUGGUCCCAAUGCAAUGGAGUUCUGCAAUUCCUCCCAUAGAGCGCUUCAAAUGGUGACAUCUUUAGACUGGCUUGGUAGCUGUUGUUGUAAGAGAAUUCUGCAAAUGGUAAUCUCUUGUCCCAACCUAUCUUAUCUUGCAAAGCACAAGCCCUCAACUUAUCCUCCAGAAUCUGAUUGGUUCUCUCUGUUUGACCAUCUGUCUGUGGGUGGUAAGCUGAGCUGAACUUCAAGUGUGUGCCCAAAGCUUCAUGCAACUGCUGCCAAAAAUGAGAGGUGAACUGGGUGCCUCUAUCUGAUACUAUCUUAUUCGGAACGCCAUGCAAGCACACAAUCCGAGCCAUAUAUAGUUCGACCAACACCGCACUGUUGUAGGUGGUCUUGAUUGGUAUGAAAUGUGCCGCCUUUGUCAAACGGUCCACUACUACCAAGAUGGAGUCAUAACCAGUACGAGUGCGGGGCAAACCGACUAUGAAAUCCAUUCCGAUCUCAUCCCAUUUCCACUGAGGAAUCUGCAAUGGUUGCAACAAACUUGUAGGUCUCUGAUGUUCUGCUUUAAUCCUCUGACAACUGUCACACACAGCCACAUACUCUGCUAUCUCCCUUUUCAUACCGUACCACCAGAAUCUGUUCUUCAGGUCUUGGUACAUCUUCUCACUACCGGGGUGUAUAGAGUAUGCUGUAUCAUGGGCUUCUUUGAGAAUCAGUUCCCUGAUCAAUUUGAUGUCGGGAACACACAGUCUGUCCUUGAACCAUACCACUGCUUCACAUCCUCACGGAAUUCCUUGCCUUUUCCAUCUUUGAUUAGCUGUCGGAUCUCGUUGAUUUUCUCAUCAUCCUUCUGACCUUUCCUGAUGUCUUGCUCUACAGUGGGUUCCAACUCGAUUGUCACUCCUUGAGUGUUGUUCAGAAAUCCGAGGCUCAAUCUGUCGAACUCCUUUGCUAGCUCAUACGACAUCGGGUGAGCGGCCAACAUAUUAACUUGACUCUUUCUACUCAGAGCAUCUGCAACCAUGUUUGCUUUGCCUGGGUGAUAAUGAAUCUCUAGCUCAUAAUCUAUGAUCAAUUCUAGCCAUCUUCGUUGUCUCAUGUUUAACUCUGACUGAGUGAAUAUGUAUUUGAGACUCUUGUGGUCCGUGUAGAUAUCACACUUCUGCCCAUAAAGAUAAUGCCUCCAGGUCUUCAAUGCAUGAACCACGACUGCUAAUUCCAGAUCAUGAGUAGGAUAAUUUUUCUCAUGAAUCUUCAACUGUUGGGACGAGUAUGCCACUACUCUCCCUUCCUGCAUCAACACACAUCCCAGUCCGGCAUACGAAGCAUCGCAAUACACUGAGAACGGCUUGUGAACCUCUAGCAGAAUCAGCACUGGUGCCGUUGUCAACUUCUCUUUCAAUGUCUCAAAGGACUUCUGGCAUGCUGGGGUCCACUUGAACUCAACCUUCUUUGCCAACAAGGUUGUCAUUGGCCUGGCAAUCUUGGAGAAACCUUCAAUGAAACGUCGAUAAUAACCGGCCAUUCCGAUGAAACUCUUGAUUCCUCGGACAUCUUUUGUUGCUUUCCAGUCCAAGAUAGUUGUUACCUUCUUCGGAUCUACAGCCAAUCCCUCUCGGUUUAUAAUGUGACCCAAGAACAGGACUUCACUGAUCCAGAACUCGCACUUGCUAUGCUUGGCAUACAACUGACAAUCUCGUAGCCUCUGAAGUACUUUCCUCAAAUGCUUCUCAUGCUCUUGCUCAUUCUGGGAAUAUAUAAGAAUAUCAUCAAUGAAUACCACCACAAACUUGUCGAGGUAGUCCAUGAACACACUGUUCAUCAAGUACAUGAAGUAAGCUGGCGCAUUCGUCAAACCGAAUGACAUGACCGUGAACUCAUAUAAUCCAUACUUGGUGAUGAAUGCUGUCUUCGGUAUGUCUGAGGGUCGGAUUCUGAGCUAAUGGUAGCCUGACCUCAGAUCUAUCUUUGAGAACACACUGGCUCCUCUCAACUGAUCGAAUAAAUCGUUAAUUCUGGGCAAGGGGUACUUGUUCUUGAUAGUAACUUCAUUCAAAGCUUGAUAAUCGAUGCACAUCCUCUUCGUGUCAUCCUUCUUCUCCACAAACAACACUAGGGCUACCCAAGGUGAGGUACUCGGUCUGAUAUAACCUUUCUCUGACAACUCAUCAAUUUGCUUCUUGAGUUCCACCAACUCUGGUCCGGACACUCGAUAGGCUCUCUUGGAAAUUGGGGCGGUGCCUGGAAUAAGCUCUAUGGCAAAUUCAACCUUCCUUUCAGGUGGCAUACCUGGUAACUCCUUGGGAAACACAUCUGGGAAAUCUGAUACUACACUGAUAGCCUCUGAUGGUUUAAUCUCCUCAAUAUGAGCGGUGACUUGGUGACAACUCCCUUUCCUUGAUCCAGACAAGACCAAUUCCACUAACACUUCUUCUCCUGAUAGGGACACUAACUUCACCGUUCUUUCAUCACAACUAAGACUAGCUUGAUACUUGGUUAGCCAAUUCAUCCCUAGGAUGACAUCUAUAGUUGUAUCCUGGUUACCCAAAACUAUCAAAUCAGCGGGGAACUCUAUCCCCCUUAUUUGAACCUUUGCACUAGGGCAAAAUCUAUCAGUUUGGGUCCUUCCACCAACUGAACUAACUCUCAUAGGUGGAUACAUGGGUGCUACUGGUAUAUUAUGUGAUUCUACCCAUGAUGCAGUCACAAAAGAAUGUGUUGCUCCAGUAUCAAAUAAGACAUUUGCAGAAUGGUACUCGACUGAAAAUGUACCUAAUGCCACUCCUGGAGUCUCCUGGACUGUGUCGGCCUCCAAGCGGUUCACCUUUCUAUACUGGGCAUGAGGUUGCCCACGGUUGUUGCCUCCUUGCUGCAUUGCAUUCUGUCUGACUGGGGCAUUGGGAGCUAGCUGCUGCUGAGCUGCUUUCUUUGGGCAAUGAUUCGCCCAAUGGCCUUGUUCCCCACAGUGGAAACAUGCACGACUUCCUCCUCGAGCUGGCGCUGCUAGAUUGUUCUGGUUGGUUGCUGGGGUAGGAAGACGGGCUGCCUGGUUGCUCUGAUGAUGGUAUUGAUUUCCUCCUUGCUGGUUGUUCUGACGGUGCUGCUGCUGAGGAAACUGCCUCUGGUACUGCUGCUGCUGGUUCUGACGCUGACGCUGGUGCUAGUGCUGGUGACCUUGCUUGAAUUGCUGAGGUGGGUUGCCUGAGUAGCAAGGACGGCUACUACUCCCAACCUGAGGUCCACCAAUCUUGCGUUUCCUGUCCUCCAUCUCCCGACGCUUCCUUUCUGUCAUGAUUGCUCUGUCUAUCAUAUGCUGGAAGGUGGGGAAGGUGUGGUUCAUCAGCUGAUAGUUGAGGGGAUCAACCAAUCCUCUCAAGAAGCGGUACUGCCUCUUGGCAUCCGUGUUGACAUCCUGUGGGGCAUAACGCGACAGCUACAGAAACUUGUCCCUGUACUCGCUGACGGACAGGGGACCUUGCUUUAGGGUGAGAAACUCCUCCUUCCUCACUAUCAUCAGUCCCUCGGGCACAUGGUAGCGACUGAAGUUAUCCCUGAACUCCUCCCAAGUGAUAGCUUCAGGGUUGGCAUGGGUGGCGAGGUAAGACUCCCACCAAGACUGUGCUGCUCCCCUCAGCUGUCGGGGACCAUACAACACCUUCUCAUGAUCGUUGCACUGGGCAGUGUGCAACUCAUGCUCCACGAUACGCAGCCAAUAUUCAGCGUCCAUGGGAUCAGCAAAGUGGGCAAAGACUGGGGGAUGACCCCUCAUGAAUUCUGCUCGCUUGUCUCUGGGCACUUAUGGCAUCUAGACUUGCACCUGAGGCUGAGGCAGUGGUGGCUGCUGCUGCACCUGCUGCAUAGCUGCUAAGGUCUGACCAAUUUCCUGGACUGCUUGGGUCUGCAUCAAGAACAUCUGCUCGAUAGUCAUCGGGGGUGGCGGUGGCAAAUGCUGCUGCGGGGCUGCCUCCUCUUGGGGUGCCUGCUGUUCAGGCUGAGCACGCCUCGCACCUCUGCGCCUGUUUUCAGACAUAUGUAGAAAUCACAUACAUAUAUCAAUUCUGACUCUGCAGUCUUUCAGCAUAAGAAAAGAUGUAUAGAAGAUCUUCAUAGAACUAAACAAUUGACCAACUUUACUGACAGCUUCUCAGAUAAAGAGGAAAGUGGAAACAAAUGGAUUACCCAACUAAAUAACUGACUUUAUUAAUAACUACACCAAGUUGCAGGGGAUACCCACACCUUGGUGACAAUCAUUACAAAGAUCCAACUUCAGUACAUGUCCAUCAUAACAAGCAUCCAACAUAAAAUAAGCAAACUAACUCUAACUAAGACUGAAUAGACUAAGACACUGAACUAAGCAUUAUUACAGACUCCGACUCUAUCGAUCUAAGGAUCCAAAUCUAUCUGGGUCCUGCAGUCUGGGGUACCAUAGUCGAAGCGACCACGGGGCAGUGAACGGUAAGGGUGCUGAAUCUCGACAGGGGCGGGAGAACCACCAUCCAAAUAGUGGCGUGCUGCGCACUCAGCACGCAAUUCCGCAACCUCCACCCAAACCUUGCCCAACUCGUCGAGGGCGUGGUCCAACUCUGUGUUGAGCACGACAGCCAAGUUGACCAUGCUGUUCAGCCUGGGAUUGCCCUCACCAACUGGCGAGGCAAUCACACUUCCAUCACUGCCGGUCGAACGGCAUGGGUAGUACUUUAGGUCGAGGCCAUCAGCUACCCCGCUGAACAACGAGCAAUACUGAGAAAGUGCCCGUCGUGCUGCAUCUUGCAUGGCUGCCUCGGCAGUAUCCCUCUCAGUAAUCGAAUAGUGCUUUGAGAAGGCCUCUGCACCCCGGAGAUCAUCGUCCAGACGGCGCACCAAGCAAGUAGCCUCCCACUGGUCCGGGUAUAGCCCGUGAUGAUGCUGGUAGACUACACAACGGUACUCGAUAGACCAUGUGUGUCGGUCGAAGGCCCGACGCAGCAGGGUAUCGAGAGCGUCGUGGAAGUGACACUCGCGAGCGGCGUCACAAGUGAUGGGUCUAGCGAUCCAUCCCUUUGGCUCCAGUUCCUCCGAGAGCUCCGUGUCGUGGCUCGAACUGCCACCGGCGUCGUCGUCGUCUCCGUCUCCAUCAGGGUCUCCUCCAACAGCCGGGAUGCCUUGAGGUGGUGCAGUGAGCAUCUCUGGCUGAGGUGCAGGGGAAGGCGACCUCUCAGACUCCACCUCCCGCUGAGGUGAGGGGGAAGAGUCCUGCUGCUCCUGCUCCUGGCGUUGACGCUCCUGCUCCUCGUGCAGGCGACGAUGCAGUCUCUCUAGGUGACUAGGCUGACCUGGCACCGUGCGACGCAGUGGACGCUCCGCUAGGCGAGAAGGCAAAAAGGGGAUCACAAACAUACGUGCAGUGCACCUGAUACGGGCCAUCUACAAAAGACAUCGUAAGCACAAGAGUAAGAGUAGAACUAUGAGACCAGAAAGUAAACAGGUAGAAAAGUGAGACAAAACCUUUUGAGAUGAUUAAAUAACAUAGAGUUGGUCAAGAUGACCAACUUUUGAAAGAACUCUAAGGUCAAGGUAAGAGUAAGGGUCUAUAGUCCUUAGGGAGACCUUUCUAGUCUAGGUUAGUGGUCCUACAGUCAGCAAGGCUUUGAUACCACUUAUGUCACACCUGGUUUUGGAAGGCAGACCGAAUGCGAACCAUGUACGUGUUAGGAUCAGAAACUCACGUACACAGCGAUUACAUAAUUGGACAUCAUCACACAAUGCUCGAAAUAAACAGCGGAAAGGUACUUUAUUACAUCAAGAUGUCCAAGACAUCCAUAGAGUCUACUACAUAACCAUUGUUCAACAUAAUUAUCAAAGUGCGGAAAUACGAAACGUAGAUGCUAAGCCUACACAGGCAGCUGACUGGGGGUUUUCCACUAAGAAAGAACUAGAACUCGUCGUAUUCCUGGAACUCCUCAAAGUCAUCCAUGUUGUCAGCAUCACCUCCUGAGCAUUGAGUACAAUGGGGACAACCUGGGGUGGGGUGGUGUGUAAAGCAAGGGUGAGUACACAUCAACUUACUCAACAAAUGUUCUGUUUGGCUAAAGUGGACUAGCUGUAUAUGGAGUUGAGGUUAAGCAGUUGCUUUUAGUUGGUCAAAUAUUUAUUAUUAUUAGUAGAGCUAAGUUUUAGUAAAUAACCCGGUUAUUACCCGAAAGUACCUCCUCAAAAGAGGAAAUACCAGAGAUCAGAUUUUAUAACAUCAUUGUUAAUCAUCAUCGUAAGAGUAUCCAAAGUUCUUCUAAUCAAAGAGGAUCCCAAGGCUGCUCUUAAUCAUGAGCUCGGCUGAUAUACUAGUUUUUAACACUCUGCAGAGGUUGUACACUUUACCCACAAGUCGUGAUCCCUUUCCAGCCUGGGUUGUACAGACCCGAUCUUCACUACCAAGGUGAAUGGCCAGGGAUACACUAUGUAGCCUUUACAAAGACUUCCCUGGUGCAUAGUUGCUUGUUAGGUUUCGCCAGUCGUACAAACGCAGUACACCUCCCCAAGGUGGGUGACUAACAAAACCAAAUCGAAAGAACCUCUGCACCCCAACCUUGGAAGAGCGAGCACUACGCCCCGGCCCCCAUUGGCGGCCCUCCGGCAAAGCCAACUACACCCCCAGGUUCAUCUAAUUAAUCAGCUAAGGGUGUCCCAUUCCACCCUCAUGGUUGUACUGUUAUCCUGGGUGGUCACUCCAUGAACAGGUCCUUACGGAGAGGUACUCAGGAAAAAGGCCUGAGCCCCCUAAGGUAUCACAGAAUCAUCCACAUAAUCAGGAUAACAGUAUCGUAUCAUAAAUGUUCACAUCAUGUUCAUUGAUUUAGUUAAGGCAAUAGCAACAUGCUAACCAUGGCAACCCAAAAGGUAAACAAGGAUAAGUGAAUACAGACUAGUCCAUCUUUAGGUUUCAUAAAGUAAUGCGGGACAGUGAAUCAUAAAGUAUGUAGGACAUGAUGGGUCAGAGGAAACUUGCCUUCACCAGGUGGUUGCUCAGGGAGGUCUCCAACAACACACUCAGGAACCUUGGACUGCUCGUUGUCUAAAUAAAGCGAGCAUGCAUUCAAUACAUUUGGAAAGUACAAAUGAACAUCACACCAAACAUGUACAAACAUUGGAACACAUCUUAAAAAGACAUAGUACUACAUAAGGGAUAAUGAAUUCAAAGUAUAACAUAAACUAUGGCAUACAUUAACUUUAUUUGAAAAUAGAUUAUUAUUUCCCUAAGUGUUAUUUACAAGUACAUAAUCAUAGAUCAAUUUAUUUUAUUAUGAUCUAUAAUUUAGAACAGAGAUGAACUCAUGCAAUACCUAUCAUUAAUCUCACAAGUUUAAACAUGAUUAAAUCUCUAAGGUUCUCCUUUUAUUAAAUAAAUAAAACUACAUCUAUAUUAGUUCAUAUUCUAUCAUAAAAAUUAGAAUGUGCAGACUGAUGAGGACAUCACUUCUAUACAUACAAUGAAUGGACCGAUAACACGAUCGCGUGCACGACAGCUAAAUCUCCAGGUACGUUCUACCCUAGUCAAUUGUGUUUCAGAGCUUACGCUUGGGGCCAUGGAUGUUUUGAUGAUUAGGAACCUUGGAGAGGACCAGAAAGGACUUGGCAAAGGCCUAGGUGUUGAGGAGGAGCAGCAAGAGCGCGACAACUGGAAGGAGAUCAAGUCCGACUCGACUGCGACUCCAUCUCGGGUUCCAGGACCAGUCUGCACUAACGUGGACGCCCAAGAUGCAUCCGGACUUCGAUUGCGAUGGACUUGACAUGGUUGGAAAUAUAAGGAGAUUAUCUAAUCAACGCAACUGGUUCCACCCUAAAAUUCGUCCGGAGUCAACAGGAAUCGUCGAAAACAAGUCAACGUUCAGAUUCUGUUUUGGUGCUGCGACACCGUCUGUUGGGCCGUUGGGCCGUGUAUCGCGUCGGAGCCCAUUAGGGGCGAGUCCAGGGGUCACGCAUGCCCUAAUACUCUAUUUAUUCAGCAGCCGCCGCCACAUUAGGGUUGGAUUUUGCUUAAGUUUAGAUCUGAGAAGAACAGUCGUCGUAGAUCGGUUUGUGAGACCCCAACUUGUGAGCUUAAUCAUUCAUCCGCAAUAUUCUAGAUUGUGUUCUUUCUUGUUCUUGCUUGUGUCUUCGAUUCUCAGGCAGGAAUUAGCCCUCAUGGCGAGGUUAAUCGCACAGAGCAUGGUUGAUAACCAAAGGAGAAGUGGUGCUGCGAUUGCGGGGUUCUAGUCGUGUUGAUUGGAAGCCGGAUUGUCUGUGUGACAUCUCCACCAAAUCGAUAGUUAUCUUCACCUGACGGAAGAUCGGGCACCCCCGUUCCUAUCAAGUGGUAUCAAAGCUCAGGUAUUACCGUCAGGCUUACCCUAGUUUAGUUUAGGUUUUUCAUCCUAUAACUCCAGAUAAUUGCCAUACGAAAAAAAAUUCGCUGUCCUAGAAGGCUAGAACCCUUGUUUAGCCUUUGCAAUUUCCUUUUCAGUUUGGCUUUGUUCAGUUCGUGUUCGUGGUCGAGUCGUGUUGCUGGUUUAGGGUGUAUCUUCGUCAUAGAUCAACUGCACCUUCGCCACUAUCCCAUCCACCAUUAUCUAGAUCACAAGUCGAUCCACCCCAUUAAUCGAUUUGCCCUCGCUAGCCGCCUUGUGUGACUUCUCGCCGCGCCAGCCCUAGAUAGGUUGCGAGCCGCCUUGAGUCUUCUGCCUGCACCGCAGCCCUUCCUUAUUCAUCUGGCACAACCUAUUUUGUUCCACGAAAGAUUUGUGUUCGGCUGUGAUUGCAGAUAGGGAAGUUUUGCCCUAACCGCCGCUUUCUAGUCGUGCCUCCAAAAUCAUAAUUUGAGGUACCUUCCUUAGAACCGACAUAACUUUUCGCUCGGUUGUUCAAAAAAUCUGAUUUUUUACGGGAGCAUGGUGACGCCAUUCUGAGGCCAACCAAACUCGCCUACGACCUGUUUGCUUUCGAUAAAAUUGUCAAAAAAAUUCAGGAAAAUAAAGAAAAAAAUUGUCAAAGUUCUUGCACGCUUUUCCGAGAACUUGCUCAUUUUCUGUAGACCACAUCUGAUCUAUGUUUUAGGUGAAACUUCGUGUAGCGACUAUUUUGUUGCUUCUUGUGCUGAGAAAAAUAUCAAAAAAAUCAUACAAAAAAGAAAAACAAAAUCACCAGUGAAUCCUACUAGUGCCUUUUUGGCCUCGCUAGUACAAUAUUUACGGUACUGCCAUUCUGCUAGUUCCAUUGUUCCUUGUUCCAACUUGUUGUGAUACGCCUCGGAUACAUCUCUUAGCCAGCAAUUGUGACUUGUGCUUUGGAUAUUUAUUGAACUUCGCUCAACUGCACUCGAUUUUGUUCCACAUUCACAUACAUAUUGUGCCUGUCCUACAGCUCCACUACUAUAUCUUCUGAUCAAUACAGAUUUGACCUUGCAAUCGCGGUUUCACUACCUCUUGGUAAGUAUCAUGAACCAGCCUCCGAAUGUAUACCAUCCUUUGCUUGUAUUUCGUCAUACACUUGUAAGAGCUUGGUAAGAUACAAUAGAGCGUGUUCCUGUGUUCCACCUGAGAGGAGCGUGUAGUGAAAUUAUUAGGGAUAACCGUCACCGUUUGUUUCCUGUUUUUUUGUGUUUCGAUGGCAGGCGAUGAAGAAGAAGCAAGGAUCCCUACAGACUUCGAUGAAUGUGUUAGCCGCCAAGAUCUUGAGGCAAACAACAAGCUCCUGAAGGAGCAAAUGGAGGAGACGGUCCACAAGUCAGUGCAUGAUGCCUUCAUUGACAUGAACCUUGGCAAGACUUACGAGAGGCUGGAUCGACGAUUGUCCCAGAUCGUCGACAGACUUGCUGUGUUGGAGACGCAACAACAAGCACCGCCACCACCACCUCCUCGUCCACGUCUUCCCGAUGAUGCGGUGUUUGAUGAAGGUAAUUAUGAUGAAGCGGCCACCAGAGAUUUGUGCCUCUCCGUAAGGACCUGUUCGUUGGAUGACCGCCCGAGAAAACAGUGCAACCAUGAGGGUGAAAUGGGACGCCCUUAGCUGAAUAAUUAGAGGAACCGGGGUGUAGUUCGCUUCACCAUCAUGUCGUUGAUGGGACUCGGUGUAUGCGGCUCGCUCUGCCAAGGUUGGUUCGCCCCUUGGGGAGGAGUGCGGUGCAUUUAGGAAACCUAACGGGCGGCUACAGCCCCGGGGGAUCUUUGUAAAGGCUACGUAGUGAUACCCUGCUGGGUCACCUUGGUAGUGAUCAAUGGAGAGUCAUGAUCUCCGGGCAGAAAUGGAAUCACGACUUGUGGGUAAAGUGCGCAACGUCUACAGAGUGUUAUGAAAAAUGAUAUAUCAGUCGUGCUCGCGGUUAUGAGCGGCCAAGGGAGCUCCAUUGAUUAGUGAUACUUGAUCAAAGAUGUUUGGAUUAUAGGUGGCGAUGAGAAUGGUGGUUUUGGUAUUGACUAUGGUAAUGGUAAGUGGUAUUCUUUCCGUUUGGAAAUUGUACUUUUGGGUUAACAACUUGGGUUAAUACUAAAAUCUGGCUCUCUCUACUAGUAAUAAUAAUCUGACCAACUAAAAGCAACUGCUUGACUUACCCCCCACAUAAAGCUAGUCCACUACAGCCAAAUAGGACAUUUGUUGAGUAUGUUGAUGUGUACUCACCCUUGCUCUACACACCAAACCCCCCCUUCCCCAGGUUGUCCACAUUGCAACCACUGCCCAGGAGAAGAUGAAGCCAUGGAGGAAGACUUCCAGGAGUUCCAAGAUGACGACGAGUUCUAGGCGUGGGUUAGCGGCAACCCCCAGUCGGCUGCCUGUGAAUGCCGCGUGUAUCUACGUUUCGUUUUCGCACUUUGAUUAUUGUUAAAGACUAUGUGGAUGUCUCAGACAUUAUGAUGUAAUCGACUAUUAUUACUCUUUUAUGUUAUUAUUUGAGCACUGUGUGAUGAUAUUCAGUUAUGUAAUUGUUGUGUAUGUGAAUUUCUGAUCCUGGCACGUACAUGGUUCACAUUCGAUUUGCCUUCUAAAACCGGGUGUGACAGAGGCCUUCGCUCACAUGUCGGACCUUCAAAUUCGUCGGGGCUUGGACUCCACUAUCAGGGGAGAAGUUGAGCCUUCGGGACAUAUGGUGGGGGUUUCUACGAGCCCUCCACUUUUUGUGUGGCCCUUCGCUCAACUUCCUCAAAAAGGCCAUGGUCUAGGACUUCAACUGUGGUGUGGGUUGAAAUCCCCUUCACUGCUGACUCUACGCUCAAACAUGGUUAAUUGUAGCCGGAUAAGUCAGAUCGAGGUCGGAAUCGGCCUUCGCCCCAACACUUUCCAUUUCUUUCUUUCCCCUCUCUCCUGACCGGUUCGAGCUUGACAAUAUCAUGUUCCAUCCAAUGAAGAUGCACUUCAUUUUGGGAGAGAUGUGAUGAAUGGUAAGUAAACUAAACAACUUGACACCGAUGAGAAAACUUCUUGAAAUAUUGACAUACUACAUUUGUUAGUUGCCAUCAUCUGUUACCAACAAAUAACCAAACAUAUGAAGCUUACACUAGUGAGACAUUUAAGUCAUGUGAAACACGUUACAAAACUAAGAACUGCUGAGGUUAAAAGAAACACUAGCAUAUGACGUCAUUGUGGAGAUUGUGGUCUAAUGCAACUUAUUGCAUGCGUCUAUGCAAAGAUCGGCGCUUCGACAGGUUCUCAUACCUCUAGCAUAGUUCAUGUAGCCUCCCAUACCUAAUACUACUACAUAUAGGACAAAUGAAAGCUACAUGAUUCCUAUUUGGUGGGACUCUGCAUUGUGUGGUUCUAAAUUUAUAUUGCCGAUUGCCAUUGUCCAUCAUUCAAGAGGCGUUAUAAAGGUGUGUAGUGCAUCUAUUAAUAAAAAGAACUACUCAUGUACACACUACAAGAAAUCAGGUAAUUUUCGACGGGUAGGUUCGUCGAAAAUAGCUUAUUUCGGCGGUUUUGGCGUUACGAUCCUAUUUCACCAUGGAUAAGGCUUAUUUUCGGCGGUUGCUGCAAAAAAACAGUUAUUUUUGGCAGCUAACGAAUAGUCGCCGAAAUUUAGCCCAUCAUCGGUUAUUUUCAGUGGUUGUUUUAUUUUUGGCGGCUUUGGGCUAGCCGCCAGGUGUUUUUUGGCUGCCGAAAAUUACCCUAAUGUAGUAAUUUUUGGCAGCUUUCUUUAUGGCGUUAAAAAUAAGUUGGCUAUCAAAACUUAUUUUGUAUAGUAAACCAUAAAUUCAUCUAAUUUCAUAUUUAUUUUACAUACACACAAUAUAUCGCCACAACCACAUACAUAAAAUUACAUACACACAAUAUCAUAUCAGAUACAACUUGAAACACAUAUAUCACCACAACUAACACAUAAAUUCAAAAAAUUCAAUCAAUCCAACAAGUUUAAACAUUCAACAUGUUUCAUUCAUUCAGAAGUUCCAUACAUCCAUCAACAAUACAAUAUAAUACAAAACAAACUAAUAUAGAGUCUCAAACAGAUGAAACAAACUUCUACGACCACUAGGGAUUGUUGGAGUUGUGUUCGCUUCCAUCAGAAGAGAAUAUAUUGUUGAUAAAAUCUAUAGCCUAAUCAUCCUACAAUAAAGAACAAAGUCCACAAUUAAAGACCAAAAGCUUAAUUAUAGCAUUAUAUGUAAUCAAACAUAUAUAGUUAUUUAACUAUGAGAAAAAUACCUCGUUUAUAGCUGCUAGUGCCACGGAUGGAGUGGUAUGAUAUUGAUUUGUCAUAUUAACUCCAGAUCCCUAAAAUAUACAAGUUAACAAAGUCCACAAUUAAAAACCAAAAGCUUAAUUAUAGCUUUAUAUGUAAUCAAACAGAUAUAGUUAUUUAAAUGUGAUAAAAUAGCUCGUUUAUAGCUGCUAGUGCCACUGGUAGAGGGGUAUGAUGCAUUCAACUACAAUUCACAUGGUAUGGUUUCACUAACUAAAUUUGUAGACCUACAAAUGUAUAAUGAAUUUAAUGAGGACACCCACACUUGAACAAAAAUGUAUUUUGCAUUUUUGAAAAGAAAUGGAGUAUUUCAUCUCAUAUGUUCUCAAGAUUAACUCUUCAUCACUCAGAGGACUGAGUUGCCUCAUGCAAGUUUGAUUUAUUUUUCCUCACAUCUAUUCUACUUAGUCCUUUUUGGAGCUUUAGGUAGGGAUGCAUAUAAAAGCUUCUUAUCAUUUCUGUUGGGGGCCUUCUUCUACGUCGAAGGUCCUCUAAGCAAAAACACCUUCGGCAAGAUGAUAUGCAAGCAGACAUGACAUGAAGAUAUAUGCCGAAGCUACAAUCGAAAGAGCUUCGGCAUGAUGACGCGCUUGAGAUGAAGGGUGGCACCGACUUAAAGAGGAAAAGACCGUGUAGUCCCUGAUAGUUUGUGUCACAGUUAUGAUUAGUUAUCAAGGACAUGAAUGUAAUUUUGUUCGGGCUGUGUCCCGUGCCUAUAAAUAGAUGAACAUUACCCCCGUACUGUUCACGUUGACUUGUAAUCACCCGCACAUCACUCUCGGGUUCUUAUCUUCUGUAAAGCCGAAGGUAUAAAUGUAACUUAACAUCAUUAAUGUUUGUUCAUGAUUAUAUAAUGUCAAUAUGAACAAUUUGAUGAUUUAAUAUGAUCAUUCAUAUUUUUUUGUGUUACAUAUGUUCAUGUUUAUAUCUCUUUAUAUUAAAAUGAUGAAGGUAUGUCCUUCAUGACCUUCGUCCAGAGAUCAUUAUAUCCUAAAGAAAAUAAUGUUAUGAAGGACGAAGGUCUUUAACCAUUAACAUUUGUGUUGCCUUGUUCUUGAUUCAUAGCUUUUGAGAACAAGUGACCAACAUUGGCGCCCACCUCCGGUGAACUCACUUCCACUGUUGUAGCAAUGGCUUCGUACAACAACCAAGCUGAAGCACCUUCUGUUACGAAGCUAGUGCUCCCAAUCACGAGCGGUUCAAGCUCAGAACUAGCUAACAAGAAGCAAAAGAAGGAAGCACUAAGAAGAGUGCAACAUGUUGGGGUGCAAGGACCCUUCAUCAGAUCCAAGUGGUCUCACAUCCCAAUCACCUUCUCUCAGGAGGAUCUUCAGCUUAAAGACUAUCCUCACAAUGAUGCCAUGGUUAUAUCUUGUGUCAUCAAGGGACAACACAACACAAGAACUGAGCAAGUUGUGUUUGACAUUGUUGACAUGGAGUACCCAUACAACACAAUCAUUGGUUGAGGGACGCUUAAUGCCUUCGAAGCAAUACUUCAUCUAGCAUAAUUAUGCUUGAAGAUACCUUCGGAACAAGGGCCCAUUGUUGUUCAUGGGAGUCAAGAAGCUGCCAGGAGGGCUGAAAGGAGUUGGAUGGAUUCAAAGGCGAUCCAUAACAUAGAUGGAGCCAAAGCUUGUCAGCAAUAUAAGCACAAAAGAGAGAAGGCUGCUUCGGCAGAUCAACCGAAGCCUAUGCUCCUGUGUGAAGACAUAGCAGACCAAAGGGUACUGCUGGGAUCUCAGUUAUCUGGUGAACAAGAAAAGACUCUGCUAAGAUUUUUGUUCAACAACAAAGAUGUCUUCGCUUGGAUAGCUAACGAUCUCUCUGGUGUUAACAGAGAUGUCAUUGAGCAUUCACUCAAUGUGGAUCCAUCUUUCAGGCCAAGAAAGCAAAGACUCCAGAAAAUGUCUGAGGAUAAAGCUGAAGGUGCUCAGAAUGAAGUAAAGAGACUUCUCAGUGCUGGUGUUAUCAGAGAAGUAACAUUUCCAAAGUGGCUAGCUAACACUGUUAUGGUGAAGAAGGCUAAUGGGAAAUGGAGAAUGUGUAUUGAUUUCACAGAUCUCAACAAGGCAUGUCCAAAAGAUGAGUUCCCUUUACCAAGAAUAGACUCCCUUGUAGAUGCAGCAGCUUCUUUGGAACUCAUGAGCUUAUUGGACUGCUACUCGGGCUAUCACCAAAUUUGGAUGAAGAAAGAGGAUGAGCCAAAGACAAGCUUCAUAACUCCCAAUGGUACUUAUUAUUACCUUCGGAUGCCUGAGGGGCUCAAAAAUGCUGGAGGCAGCUUCAGCAGAAUGACAGCCAAGGUUCUUCACUCUCAAAUAGGCAGGAAUGUGCUAACUUAUGUUGAUGACAUCAUAGUAAAAAGCAUGAAACAAUAAAAUCACAUUGCCGAUUUGCAAGAGACGUUCGCCAAUUUUAGACAAACUGGUCUCAAAUUAAAUCCAGAAAGUUUGUUUUUGGAGUAAAGAAGGGCAAGUUCCUUGGCUGUCUGGUAUCAACAAAGGGUAUCAAAGCUAACCCAAGUAAGAUCGAAGCUAUCCUUCAGAUGGAGCCACCAAAUUCAAAGAAGGGGGUUCAACGAUUGGCAGGAAGGCUGGCAUCGCUGAAUAGAUUUAUAUAAAGAUCAGGAGAGAGGAAUCUACCAUUCUUUGAAAUACUAAUGUCAGCCGAAGUUUUUCAAUGGGGUUCGGCUCAACAGAAGGCCUUUGAAGAGUUAAAGCAAUACCUGAUAAACUUUACAACUCUAACUCCACCUUCAUCAGGAACUUCGCUACUUAUGUAUGUGUCUGCCUCCCAUUCUGCAGUCAGUGUGGCACUUGUACAGGAGAAGCAAGAUGGCCAUGUAAAAAGACAAGCGCCAGUAUACUUUGUCUCCGAAGUACUCAGUUUAUCAAAGAAAAAUUACACAGAAUUGGAGAAGGUAUUGUAUGUUGUGUUAAUGGCCUCCAGAAAGCUUCGGCAUUACUUUUAAGCAUAUCAUAUAAUAGUCCCUUCAUCACAACCUCUGAAGGACAUAAUGAGAAACAGAGAAGCUACAUGAAGAAUUGGAAAAUGGGCUGCGGAACUCAAUGAAUUCACCAUUGAUUAUGUACAUAGAUCCUUAAUUCAAUCUCAGGCAUUAGCAGAUUUCAUUACUGAUUGGACGCCAGGGGCUCAAGGAGAAGAAGCAACAAAAGAUGUUGAAGCCUGGAAGGUAUUCUGUGACGGUUCUUGGGGAACCUUCGGUGCUAGAGCGGCUGCUGUUCUAGUAGCGCCCUCUAAAUCAGGACAUGCUACGCAGUAAAGUUGGACUUUAAUUGUACAAAUAAUAUUGCUGAAUACGAAGCUCUUCUGUUAGGGCUUUAGAAGCUAAAGGCAAUGGGAAUAAGAAGGGCAAUCCUUAAAACUGAUUCCCAUGUUAUUUCUGGCCAUGUAGACAAAAGCAGCAAGGCAAGGGAUCCGAAGCUUGAAAAAUAUUUGGAUGCAGUCCGAAGAUUGGAAGUGUGACACCCCAGGUGUCUAUUUCGGGUUAUGUCGAAAGAAUUAUCCUAAUCUCGGAUGCUCAGUGAAAAUUUCUAUUUCUCGCUCGCGUAUGUCUCUGAUUAUCCAGAUUAUUCAUUCACAUUUCACCAAAUUCGGAGUUAUUCAGUCUCGCAGAAGGCCGAAUUUGGAGCCUGUUAAAACUUUUAUUUCUCGGCGCGAAUGCCAACUCGUAAAUCAUUCUCGAAUUGUAAACCUCAUCUGAAGCUCAUUUAAUCAAGCGCUCGACAGUUGCUAGUCGAGCUGUGUCAUAGUCCGAUUCCUCAAACCUCGAUCGGUGUCCGACCAUUUUAUUCGGAUCCAUACUCGCAAAAGGAAUACUCAGUAUGUCGUCCUCUAAUUAAUUUCUAUCCGAUUCGGCUUAAUAUCUCUGUAUCCAAUCCGAUUUCAAAAUCAACAUCGACAGCGAUUUUAAAAUGUCACGAUUCGCUUUCUCCGACUAAAAAUCUAAAGCUGAUUAGAAGUCUGAGAGAAACAUUCAUUUCUAAAAUAGUGCGCGAGGAAUUAUUUCUGAGUGAAAUCAAAUUUGAUUCUCGGCCGAAUUAAUCGCUCAAUCGUCCGAACUCUAGUUCACGCUGUUUUGCGUACAAACGAAUUCCGCAAGAGCAUUUGUAUUCCGGGAAAUAAUUAGCGAUCCGAUAAUCCGUGUUUAAUCAAAACACCAUAAAAUAAAAUGGAAAUAAAUUAGCGCGACCCGUUUGAGUGUUUUGGGCCAGCCCAACCCAGCCCAAUAGGCCCACUAAGAAACCUUAACCCUAAGUUUUCUUCUAUAAAUAGGAGCCCUCUCCCCUUGCAAAUUGGAAAAAUUGCAUCUACCCCCCCUAGCCGCCACUUCCUUUUUUUCCUGUUCCUUUCUUCCUCACGGCUGCGCGCAGGGAGCUUCCUCCCCUCCCAUGGCCGCCCAGCUUCCCUCCGGUGUCGGCUGUCCAGCAGAUGUCGAGCGCCUCCCUCUGCCCUCAUGUGCUUGGUGCUCCUUCCCUCGGCUCCCUGUUUCCCUGUCUCCAUGGCGCGCACUGCUACGCCCAGGACCCGACGGCCCCUGCGUACGUUCCCUCCAUGGCGCCCAGUCGCAGGCACGGCCGAGCUCCAGCUCCGGCCAGCAGCCAUGGCGCGACACCCUUGCUAUCUCCUCCCCUUGGUCAUUCGCCCCUGCACUCCUCCUCUCCAGCCAACAGCAGCCAGCAGCCCCCAUUCCCCAGCAGCCCCAUUGGCCGACGCCCUGCUCAAAGGAUGAAGCCCGACGCCCCAGCCAUGGCGCCCUUCCCCAGCGACGCUCUCUGCUCCAUUCCCUCCUUGGCGCCCCUGUUCCCUGCGACUUCUAGGGCCACGAGCUCCCUCUGGUCGCCAUGUCUCUAGCACGUCCCCUGCAGGUGAGCAGCAGAUCCUACUCUUUUCCAUGGUGGCCGAGCACAGCUACCUCCAUGGACGUCGCCCUUGCUGUUCCCUGUGCCCUACUCUCCCAUGGAAACCAGCAGGAGCUCCAUUUCCUCCAUGGCCGGCGCCCCGCGCAGCGCCUCUGCGCGACUCCCCCUCCCCAAAUAGUGAGCCCCCUUCCUCGCUAUUCUCCGUGGUGCCCACCAGCUGUUUGUCAAAAUACGCAGCAAGCCACGCUCGCUGCGCAGCCCCGCUCGCGACGUCGCCGACCCCCAGUGAGACACUCCGCUAUCCUUACUGUUUUUGUGUCCGUGGUGUUCGAAGAUAUGCCAAAUUCAUGAACUCUUGUGUUAUCGCAGCAACCGUCGACGCCGCGCUUCGCGCCUUGUCCGUUCGACGAAACGCCGAGCCUUGUGGGCAGCCCAUGUGACUAAUCUCGUUUCGUCCAGGUUGUUCACUUGGUAUUUUGUGGAUUAAUCUAUUUGAGCUUUGGUCGAUGUUGUGCAUGUGUGUAUAUGUGUAAAAAUUGUAUUGGUAUGGAUUGAAGUUUGUGGCGAAAGAAAACAAGUUAGAAAGAGGGCUCAGAUGUUUUUAAGUUUCGGUAAUAAUGUGUUUGAUGUGUGGUUUGCUGUGAGGAUAAAUUUUUAAAAUGCGGAUUAUGUGUUGGGGAAUGCAUCGAUAGGUGUCUACGUGAAAAGUGUAUUGUUUUAUGCAUGUGAUCGAUGAUUGGGAUAGUCGAGGCGAAUGAGGAGUAUGAUUAAUCCUGUUAGAGUCACUAUGCUGUUGAUGCCUUAUGCGUAAUGUGGGGACAUGUAUGUACGUGUGUGUUGUGGUGUAUUGUAGUAGUGGUGGCGUAAGAUAAUUGAUUGAGGUGUGCGGGUUUAUGCCGUAAUGUGGUUAUACUCGCAACGAAGAAAAGAUGUAUGUAUUGUGUAACCCGACGUGUAGGUUGCUAUUGUAUAAUCGUGUGAAGGAUGCUCCCGAUGGUCAUGUGACUAAAGGGUGGUGUAGUGGCGAAGCGAGAAGUAAGUUUAAUAUGUUUAAACGGGUAGUUGAUAGCAUCCAUCGGUGCCGUCAUGAUUUCUGUUGUAUGGUGGAUUGAUACUUUGUUUUGUCAAUCAUUGCAUUCUAUGUCCGUUGGAUAAAUAAAUGUCUUGAUGAUCGAUUAUAGGUCUUAUAUGAGCGUUAUCGCAGCCCAAUAAUUAUUGGAAGCGAGUAGCGUGCACAAGUCGGUCCUUGUUAAAAUUGAAGAACAAUCCGCUAAGAUAUACACAUAAGUGCUUUAGGUCCUUCAGUAGCCAGUGUAAGUUUUAUGGAGUUUAUGCCAUGUUUUAAUGUCUCUAUGUUAGACCCCAACGAGGUGCUAUUUUAGGUGACUUGUGUGUUAACUAGUUUAAGUUGAGAAAAGGUUAAGAAACAUUAAGUAACCUGCUCCCACCCAUGUUUUGAGUUGCAAUGUCUAAAUGGUUUGCUAAGUCUUAUGUUGUGAUUAGCCAACUCAUGUUAAGUAGGAGUCAAUUGCGUUAAUUGCUUGUUAUAUACAUGUUGUGUCUCAGAUUUCGAUAAUAAUAGGCUAGUCGACAAGUAUGUUGUAUAGCGGCCCAGGUUGUUGCUUUGGUUAACCAACUUGUUAGAUGGCUUUAGUUAAGCUCGUAGUCCCGAUGAAUUACUUGUUGUAGUCUAAAUGCGUGUGGUUAUGGUCGCAGGUAAAAAUUAGUAGUGCUCAUGUGGUGUCUAAGUUAAAAUGCGGACUAGUGGGUGAAAAGCGCUUCGAUAUAAAUAUAUGCCGGAUUUGAUGAUUGUGGUGAAUGCGUUGAUUAGUUCGGUAUGGUAGUUCUAGAUCGCGAAAUAACUUGUAUAAAAAUUAGCAAGUCUACUUGUUAGUUCUCAUUUGGUUAAUUUAACUCUAACAAUUGCCCAAGUGUUAGAAUAAUUCAAGUAUCUAUAACGCGACAAUUCUUGAAUGGUAUAUGAGCUGAAAUUUAUUAAUUGUUGUUUUGGACUGCACACGCUGUUUUAGUUGUGCUGUAUGUUUGAUGAAUCAAAUUGUGUUUUCUGUAGAUAUGUGCUAUAGAAAAGUGGUAGAUAACUUUAUUAUCUUGCUGGUGUUAAAAUUUGACAACCAUAGGUCUGACGGUUUAGGAGUUAAGGAUUUUUACAAAUUUAGUAACUGAAUCUGUCCAAAUUCUGUACAGAUUUCAGAAACUGCAUUGUUUGCCUAAUUUAAUGUUACAAUCUGUUCAUGGUCAUUAUAAGAAAGUUGUAUAUGCUUUUCUGAUCUUGCUUGUGUUAAAAUUUCAUAACUAAAGGCCUGACGGUUUAAGAGUUAUAAAUUUUACAACUUGGUUGCUGUGUUCUGUCCACUGUCAGAACAGAUUUUGAAAACUGUAAUGUUUGAUUUGAUUAAAUCUAGAAUCACUUCUUGGCGAUUAUAAAAGUUAUGUAGUGCAUUUGCCAAGCUUUCCAAAAAGUCUUGGAUCACUAUUUUUGGUGGUCUGAAGAUUUAGUUAUGGAUGUUUAAAGUCUGAAUACUGAAUCUGUCCAGUUCUGGACAGCAAAGUCUUCUAGUGUAUUUUAUCCUUAGUAAAAUAUUGAAUCACCUUGAGAUGUUUAUAAAUUAUAUAUAGAAAAUUUUAUUAUCUUUCCAGAAAGUCUAGAAUCAAUUUGUUUGGAUGUCUGAAUCUGUAGUUGUGAAUUUUUGAAGCUGCAAGUCUGAAUCUGUCCAAAUCUGGACAGAGCUGCUGUGUUUGCACAAUUCGAACUUGCUAAGAGUCUAAUCAUAUUGAGAUGAUAAUACCAAAAUUGUAGAAAACUUUCUAAGCUUUCCAGAAAGUCCUAUUUUAAUAUUUUUGAACUAAUAAUUGAAAAGUUAUGAUCAAAACAAGUAGCUGUUGUAUUGCUGUCCCAAAAAUCUGCAAAUGCGCUUUUGAUUGUUUAGUUCACUCUUCUCGCUAAAAAUGUUUGGUUUGCUCUUAAGUAAUGUAGACUUGCCAUGGCUAAGCUAGAGACGACAUGUGCGUAUUGUUUUAUAUGUUUCUUCUUUAGUUGAUUGUGAUAUAGAAUUUCCAUAGACAUUGAUGCCUAUGUCAUCGGUUAAACUUGUGUUGGAUGCUUUUGUGUGAUAAAUAGAAGAACUAAUGAAAAGCCGUAGCAAAUUAAAUAAACGCUUGUACUUAUGGGGUCGUAUUUGUGUUGCGUAAAUAUACAAAAUGUUUGUCGUCUUUUUGUGGUGUUAACGUUGUGCGCUCGAUGAUAUGUAGUUAGCUAACGCUAGUGUGUGUGGUUGUUUGUGAUGUCUCGCUACUUAGUGUUUAAUUCGCUAGCGUGUACUUAAAGUAUCUUGUGCUAUUUCAUUAUAUUCAUACAUAUGCAUCUUGCACCUUAUAUAGGACCGAGAGAUGAUGAUCGAGCCAGUGAUGUGGUGCCAACCACAAGAUGUAGUUGGUGGACGACCUGAAGAAUGAUGGACAUGACCAGUAGAUGCUCGCCAAGCGAGUACCUCCCCCAGCAAACACUCUCUAAGUGUUAAAUUAAAGGCAAGCCCCGGUUUUAUGCAUAACCUGUUAUUUAUGCUAUUUUACUAUACUUAAUGAUUGUAGGAUUGAUUGUGCACUUAAGUGUAUGAGUUGUUUGAAACCCUAGUUGCAUGAUCUCAGGAAUCCCAUUGAGAUGAAUACUAGUAUGCUAAGUCGAGUAGCUGCUUUAUUAAUUAGGAUAUCGGUAGAAGUCGAGUGAUUUUUCUAGCACUCGCGCGAGGUCAGGAAUUGGCUGUAUCCACUUUCUUAUCAUAUUGAUGUUGGUUUGUGGGCAACAAUCCAUGGGGAUUGGUUGUCUACAGGAUAAAAAUUGGAAUAAGGAUUAAGGUGUGGUACCGUGAGUCAAGCGUUUGAACGUACUAAGCACAUGCCGAGAAAUAUGGUAAAUCGGUAAGCCUAGUACCUGAUUGAACCUGGCAGUAGACUUUACCCCUCACGCGACCUGAGACGUGGUCUCCCAUUCCGGUUAUGGUGGGUACAAGUGCGGUCACUGCACGACGGCAGUCGGGGUCAGUGAGGCAUUGUACGCCAAGGCAGUGAGCCCUGAUCUGCUGACGGGGAAUCGAUGGGGACGGUUGAUGUGUGUGGGGACGGAGUGCCCCUACAUGUCGUGUGUUUAGGUUUACCUUGCAAGGUUUAAAAACUCGAUUCGAAUCGUCUGCUUCUCGCAGCUAAUGAGACUGCUUGAUCCAUGCUGCUACAUUGAGUAACAAGUGGAAAUGUGUUGACUUGGCAAAACAUGUUGAUUGUUAAAAAUGUUUGAUACCAUGUAUGAGUAGCUAGGUACUCAUCUAGUUUAAAAGGAUCAUACUAAAACUUGAAAAGCUAAAAUUUGAUUUUAGACUCAGCUAGUGCUUUUGGCAAACCAAACCCCACAGCCAAACAGCUGCAUGUCUAGAGGUAGAGGAGUAGACUCCUCACACCGGGUAAGUCUAGCUGAGUAUUAGUAUACUCAGCCUUGCUUGUGGCAUAAUUUUUUGCAGGUACUCCUUAGGAUGAUUUGUUGCUGGUGUGACUUGGCCACCAUCCCUGCCACCGGGAUAGAUGGUCAAGUGGGUUACUGCUUCCGCAGGAGAGGACCAGGGGGAGUAGCGUGGUCAGGCUUCGCCAUGUUACUCGGUUCUUCUCCGUUAGUUAUUUCCGCUGCAUUAAAAUUUAUGGUUAUUAUUUCUGAAACUCCGAUAAUGUAAUCACUAAUGAUACUUAUUAAAUUUGUGGUAUUAUGUUUUAUUGUAUUUCUCUGUGCCUCACCUUCGAGUGAGCUAGUGGUAUUCGAUCCUGGUUAAGUGGCUUUAUCGGACUAGAUCCGAGGGACUGACGGUUUAUUCCUAUUUAAGUGGGGUCUAGCCUCUAAGGCGAGACUUAGGCACUUAAGUUGGAAUAAUUCGGGCGGUUCCGCCACAGCUGGUAUCAGAGCGAAUACCAGUACAGAGAAGUUAAUAAGUCAUGAUUACCAACCUUUUCUAAAGUAAAACUUGCUUAGAAACCAAGUUGGAUAGCUGUCAGGACGAUAAGGAUAGACCUAGGACGUGAAGCCUUAGGAAAUAGAUGGGUAGCUAAACGCUAUUUAUAUAGGCCAUAAAGGCUACUACUACUAUUAAUAAGGAUGCUAUAGCAAACACUCGAAGAGUAGUUAGGUCUGAGAAGACGACUAGAAUGAGCAUGCAUCAUGAUUAUCGCAUUAUAAUUGUCUCUUGUGCACCAACCUGCUUCUCUCACCUUUAUUCCAAUAAUAAAAACUUGUGAAUAAUGUGAUGUACUGCUAUGUUAGAAAUGCCUUACCCCGUGUCAGAUUGGUAAGUCUUGUUAGUUCGUGCUAUGUGUUUGUCUUGUCUUGCUAGCUAGGUGUAUUGUAAUUGUUCAACCCUCUUUGCCAAUAAAAAUUGUUGCCUGUUUUACCCAUUAAAAGACCCCUCCAAACAACCUUGAGUUUAGCAAGUGAAACCUCCUUAAAAAAACAAAUCCUACUUGUGUUGGUAUUUUCUAGCCCCCUUGAGUGUUUUACCUUUGAAGUUAAACCUGCACAACUUGUAGACCCCCAUAGCUUAACCGCUAGCCAAACUAAAACUUCCUUGUGCACUUGUUGUGUCAAAAAAAAUUAUUGUUGGUGUCUAGUUGCGCAAACCCUAUCAAGGCCAUGUUUCUUUCCAUAAAUCCUUGCUACUGAAACUUCAAAGCAUUUCUGUUAAUCAUCCUGGCUGAUCCUGUUUGCCUACCUCUUCUUUUGCCUGGAUCUGGUAAUCCUUUUUCUUGUGAAUCAUGUUGUCUUUAUCAUCCGAAUCUCGAGAUCCCCUAUCGACUCUGCCCCGUUAGCUGGUUAUCUGCUAUAACCGUUCUCAAGUAUCGAAUGUUGAUCUUGUCUAAAUCUCUCAUUCUAAUUAUUCUCAUACUCUUUCUUCGAGGACCAUGACGCUUGUUUUAUCAACUUAUCUCUAAGCGGCAUAUCCAUGUGGAUUAAUGGAUGUUGCUGUUAUCUUUGGAUCUCUCAUGUCUCUAAAAGCUUAUCAAUCUCGAUCUCAUGGUUGGUUCCUCCUCAUAUUAAAUAUCGUAUCAAUCUUUGGCUGAUAAUUCCCGUGAUGAUCAUAAAAUAGUUCUCUGACUUGAAGAAAAUUCUCAUGUGAUGCUCUUUUGUCAGCAAUCUCUGCUUCAACUUUGGCCACAUUCUUAUUUUCUGAGCCAUACUCUCAUGGGCUCCAUCUAUUUAUUCUAUGUGAAAUUCUCGUUGGUUACGUUUGGUAAUGGUGUUAUGACUAACGACCGAUGGUGCCGCGACAAAACCGAGAGCCUACUAUGGUGCACACAUGGUUGAGCUGCUCGGCACGCGCUGGUAUCGCGGUUAAUAGUCAUGAUCCAUUAUGGAACUACACCGAUGUGCUGUCUUUUGUGAACAUUCUCUCAGAGUGAUCGCUACAUUUUGUCUCAAUAUGUCGCGAUAUUCUAUCCAAAUUUGUCUUCAGUAUCUUGUCAGAUCCCAUCUCAUGAAUUUGCAUCUAUCUCCAGCCUGGGAGUUACAUGCUUCUCCACCCUUAAACAUCCUCAUCCGAAUCUCGGGACGAGAUUCUUUUAAGGGGGGAAGGCUGUGACACCCCAGGUGUCUAUUUCGGGUUAUGUCGAAAGAAUUAUCCUAAUCUCGGAUGCUCAGUGAAAAUUUCUAUUUUUCGCUCGCGUAUGUCUCUGAUUAUCCAGAUUAUUCAUUCACAUUUCACCAAAUUCGGAGUUAUUCAGUCUCGCAGAAGGCCGAAUUUGGAGCCUGUUAAAACUUUUAUUUCUCGGCGCGAAUGCCAACUCGUAAAUCAUUCUCGAAUUGUAAACCUCAUCUGAAGCUCAUUUAAUCAAGCGCUCGACAGUUGCUAGUCGAGCUGUGUCAUAGUCCGAUUCCUCGAACCUCAAUCGGUGUCCGACCAUUUUAUUCGGAUCCAUACUCGCAAAAGGAAUACUCAGUAUGUCGUCCUCUAAUUAAUUUCUAUCCAAUUCGGCUUAAUAUCUCUGUAUCCAAUCCGAUUUCAAAAUCAACAUCGACAGCAAUUUUAAAAUGUCACGAUUCGCUUUCUCCGACUAAAAAUCUAAAGCCGAUUAGAAGUCUGAGAGAAACAUUCAUUUCUAAAAUAGUGCGCGAGGAAUUAUUUCUGAGCGAAAUCAAAUUUGAUUCUCGGCCGAAUUAAUCGCUCAAUCGUCCGAACUCUAGUUCACGCUGUUUUGCGUACAAACGAAUUCCGCAAGAGCAUUUGUAUUCCGGGAAAUAAUUAGCGAUCCGAUAAUCCGUGUUUAAUCAAAACACCAUAAAAUAAAAUGGAAAUAAAUUAGUGCGACCCGUUUGAGUGUUUUGGGCCAGCCCAACCCAGCCCAAUAGGCCCACUAAGAAACCUUAACCCUAAGUUUUCUUCUAUAAAUAGGAGCCCUCUCCCCUUGCAAAUUGGAAAAAUUGCAUCUACCCCCCUAGCCGCUACUUCCUUUUUUUCCUAUUCCUUUCUUCCUCACGGCUGCGCGCAUGGAGCUUCCUCCCCUCCCAUGGCCGCCCAGCUUCCCUCCGGUGUCGGCUGUCCAGCAGAUGUCGAGCGCCUCCCUCUGCCCUCAUGUGCUUGGUGCUCCUUCCCUCGGCUCCCUGUUUCCCUGUCUCCAUGGCGCGCACUGCUACGCCCAGGACCCGACGGCCCCUGCGUACGCUCCCUCCAUGGCGCCCAGUCGCAGGCACGGCCGAGCUCCAGCUCCGGCCAGCAGCCAUGGCGUGGCACCCUUGCUAUCUCCUCCCCUUGGUCAUUCACCCCUGCUCUCCUCCUCUCCAGCCAACAGCAGCCAGCAGCCCCCAUUCCCCAGCAGCCCCAUUGGCCGACGCCCUGCUCAAAGGAUGAAGCCCGACGCCCCAGCCAUGGCGCCCUUCCCCAGCGACGCUCUCUGCUCCAUUCCCUCCUUGGCGCCCCUGUUCCCUGCGACUUCUAGGGCCACGAGCUUCCUCUGGUCGCCAUGUCUCUAGCAUGUCCCCUGCAGGUGAGCAGGAGAUCCUACUCUUUUCCAUGGUGGCCGAGCACAGCUACCUCCAUGGACGUCCCCCUUGCUGUUCCCUGUGCCCUACUCUCCCAUGGAAACCAGCAGGAGCUCCAUUUCCUCCAUGGCCGGCGCCCCGCGCAGCGCCUCUGCGCGACUCCCCUUCCCCAAAUAGCGAGCCCCCUUCCUCGCUAUUCUCCAUGGUGCCCACCAGCUGUUUGUCAAAAUACGCAGCAAGCCGCGCUCGCUGCGCAGCCCCGCUCGCGACGUCGCCGACCCCCGGUGAGACACUCCGCUAUCCUUACUGUUUUUGUGUCCGUGGUGUUCGACGAUAUGCCAAAUUCAUGAACUCUUGUGUUAUCGCAGCAACCGUCGACGCCGCGCUUCGCGCCUUGUCUGUUCGACGAAACGCCGAGCCUUGUGGGCAGCCCAUGUGACUAAUCUCGUUUCAUCCAGGUUGUUCACUUGGUAUUUUGUGGAUUAAUCUAUUUGAGCUUUGGUCGAUGUUGUGCAUGUGUGUAUAUGUGUAAAAAUUGUAUUGGUAUGGAUUGAAGUUUGUGGCGAAAGAAAACAAGUUAGAAAGAGGGCUUGGAUGUUUUUAAGUUUCGGUAAUAAUGUGUUUGAUGUGUGGUUUGCUGUGAGGAUAAAUUUUUAAAAAGCGGAUUAUGUGUUGGGGAAUGCAUCGAUAGGUGUCUACGUGAAAAGUGUAUUGUUUUAUGCAUGUGAUCGAUGAUUGGGAUAGUCGAGGCGAAUGAGAAGUAUGAUUAAUCCUGUUAGAGUCACUAUGCUGUUGAUGCCUUGUGCGUAAUGUGGGGACAUGUAUAUAUGUGUGUGCUGUGGUGUAUUGUAGUAGUGGUGGCAUAAGAUAAUUGAUUGAGGUGUGCGGGUAUAUGCCGUAAUGUGGUUAUACUCGCGACGUAGAAAAGAUGUAUGUAUUGUGUAACCCGACGUGUAGGUUGCUAUUGUAUAAUCGUGUGAAGGAUGCUCCCGAUGGUCAUGUGGCUAAAGGGUGGUGUAGUGGCGAAGCGAGAAGUAAGUUUAAUAUGUUUAAACGGGUAGUUGAUAGCAUCCAUCGGUGCCGUCAUGAUUUCUGUUGUAUGGUGGAUUGAUACUUUGUUUUGUCAAUCAUUGCAUUCUAUGUCUGUUGGAUAAAUAAAUGUCUUGAUGAUCGAUUAUAGGUCUUAUAUGAGCGUUAUCGCAGCCCCAUAAUUAUUGGAAGCGAGUAGCGUGCACAAGUCGGUCCUUGUUAAAAUUGAAGAACAAUCCGCUAAGAUAUACACAUAAGUGCUUUAGGUCCUUCAGUAGCCAGUGUAAGUUUUAUGGAGUUUAUGCCAUGUUUUAAUAUCUCUAUGUUAGACCCCAACGAGGUGCUAUUUUAGGUGACUUGUGUGUUAACUAGUUUAAGUUGAGAAAAGGUUAAGAAACAUUAAGUAACCUGCUCCCACCCAUGUUUUGAGUUGCAAUGUCUAAAUGGUUUGCUAAGUCUUAUGUUGUGAUUAGCCAACUCAUGUUAAGUAGGAGUCAAUUGCGUUAAGUGCUUGUUAUAUACAUGUUGUGUCUCAGAUUUCGAUAAUAAUAGGCUAGUCGACAAGUAUGUUGUAUAGCGGCCCAGGUUGUUGCUUUGGUUAACCAACUUGUUAGAUGGCUUUAGUUAAGCUCGUAGUCCCGAUGAAUUGCUUGUUGUAGUCUAAAUGCGUGUGGUUAUGGUCGCAGGUAAAAAUUAGUAGUGCUCAUGUGGUGUCUAAGUUAAAAUGCGGACUAGUGGGUGAAAAGCGCUUCGAUAUACAUAUAUGCCGGAUUUGAUGAUUGUGGUGAAUGCGUUGAUUAGUUCAGUAUGGUAGUUCUAGAUCGCAAAAUAACUUGUAUAAAAAUUAGCAAGUCUACUUGUUAGUUCUCACUUGGUGUUGACGCCUUUUCGGUGCGCCAAAUACUCAAGAAGAACCGGCGGCGGUGCUCUCUGGUCAGGCGCGGACGGUACGCGGCCUGGGGCAGGAUGGUCCGCGACCUGGCGUGAGGCGGCGGUGCUUUCUGGUCAGACGCGGACGGUCCGCGACACAGGGCCGGACGGUCCGCGACCUGGUGCAGGAGCUCGGGUUCCCUGCCUGACGACCGGACGGUCCGCGCCCUAGGGCCGGACGGUCCGCGCGUACGCAGGGGCGGCGGAAGAUCGCCGACGGCGCCUGGAUCUCGCUCCCGGGAGGGACCCCGUCGGGGAGGAGAGAUCCUAGGAGUUAUCUAGGCUCGGGCAGGCCAACCUAGACUCCUCUAAUCGACGUAGAGUCGAGGAGAGGCGGAGAAUUUGGGGAUCGAGAGGCUAAACCUAAACUAGACUAGAACUACUCCUAGGAUAAAAUGCGAAAUAGAAGUUGUAUUGAUUCGAUUGAUGAUGAUUACAAAUCGGCCGUAGACCUCUCUAUUUAUAGAGGAGGGGGGCUGGACCCUUUACACAACUGAUUCCGAGCUAAUUCCGUGAAUAUAGCUAACAACCGUAGCACAAAACUCGGAACCCUAAUCUGUUCUGCGCACGCGCGGACCGUCCGGGACCGCGGACCGUCCGGCUCUAGGGCCGGACCGUCCGCUGGCUCAUUAUGGCGCUCAACAUAUGCCCCCCUGCCUUUUGUUGGAGCUGAGCAAACCAAAAGCAACUAACUCGAUGUGAUCACACUGGUUCUCUUAGGCAUCUUGCCACAUACUAGGAUGGUACUGUUUGAGGAAACGCCCAUUCAAAGCCUUAGGCAAAUCCUUGCCUUGUAAUGUUUGUAGCAAAUAGGCGUUGCCAGACAUCACCUGUUUUACUUUAUAAGGACCCUCCCAGCUUGGCGACCAUUUCCCGAACUUCCGGUCUUUACUCCUUAGAGGCAGAAUGGUCUUUCACACCAGGUCCCCUACUUGAAAUGAUUUUGCUUUGACCUUCUUGUUGUAGGCCUUGGCUACCAUGAUCUUGUCCUUUUCUAUUGCUCCCAAAGCUAUCAUCCUCUUGUCGGUCACCUCAUCAAUAUUAUCCAUCAUUGAAUUAUAAUAAUCAGUAGCAGUUAGAUUAUUUUGUCUGGCGAACCUGACUGCAUUCAAACUUAUUUCCACAGGCAACACUGCUUCCUGCCCAUAGACAAGCUCAAAAGGAGAUACUUGGAGAUACUUCAGUAGCCCUAUGUUUAGAUAUUCUAUGAGCCCAUAAAGCUUCAGACAAAAUCUUAUGCCAAUGUUUAGGAUUAUCAGAUAUCUUCUUUUUUAUCAAAUUAAUCAAUGUCCUAUUACUAGACUCGGCCUGUCCAUUGGCCUGAGCAUAAUAUGGAGACGAAUUAAGCAGCUUAAUUCUGUAUAAUUCAGCAAAUUCACGUACCUCCUUUGACAUAAAAGAAGUACCUUGAUCUGUAGUCAAGGUCUGGGGAAUGCCGAAUCUAUGAACAAUAUGCUCAGUUAUGAACUCAAUUACCUCCUUGUGCGUCAUGUUCUUUAGAGCAACUGUGACGGAACCUCCCAAGUAAUUAGGCCCACCUACAGUUGUCCUUGUCCAACAGACAUCAGACACCCUGUAGAUGUUACUAAUCACUCGACAAGUUCGGUAUCUUUCCUUACCUUACCAGAAACGUCUCACCCGUCUUGCAGGCAUUACAGAACAUCAGAGAUAUAGAAGUGCGGAAGCAAUUACAUAAACUUACAUUUAUUUAGAAAGUAAGAUCAAGUUACUUAUUACAGACCAGAGCUAUAAACGAGUGCUGAGUAGUUACAUAUAUCAAGGGAGGCACAUACUCCUCCCGAUAGCUUUAAAACAAAAAGAUCCUAUAUGGAGGACCAAGUCCUCCCGCAUCUUCACUCCUGUUUUCCUUCAUUUGAUACCACCUUGGAGCAAAAGCAACAAAAAUUUGUCGCUUCCUCACCUAAAAACAACAAAGGGAUAAACCCUGAGUAUGGAAUUACUCAGCAAGUCUUACCCGACUAAGGAAAAGACUCUCAAGGGUAUGCUGGAUAAAUAGGAGUCAAGGAGAGGCUUUAGCAAGAAUCAACUUAGAUACUUUUGCAGAAAUAGCUUACUAAAGUGAGUCCUUACUUUCAAUCUUUUAACGCCAUAUUAAGUAUUAAUAGACUCUGUUUGCAUCUAGUCUAAUUUCACAUCACAUCAAGACAACAUCAUUUUUAUCCAUAGUGUUCACAUCUUGACUUAGGUUGUAGGUCGGAGCUCAAGUCUCCACUGUCCGGGGAUAUAACGGCGAUCCGAAUCGAUUUACUCAGCUGAGGAUUUCUAACCACACGACAUAUGUUUCUCGUAAACCUUGAUGUCUACUAUUCCCACGGAUCCUCCACUGCAUGAACAGGUCCGCGCCACCCGAGAGGACACCACCCCUUUUAGGCGAUCCGUUGCCAGGAGGGUACGUGCCACUCUCGCCAUCUCUCCACGCCCAGUGCGCGAUUGUCUUUUCAUGUAUGGAAUAGCCGGGUUCAAGCUUACCUUGUCCCAUUCUCAGGGCAUGUGGCUAGAUAAGAUAGUCCUUGAUCAACAGGCCUACAUACGCAUCCAAUCCUUAAUCGACCCGGGCGGAGCAUCACCUGUUCCUAGCCCAAGUCUCGAUUUAAGUAUUUCCAUCCUUAGGAUUGUGUCUGUUCCUUAGGAUGAAAGAGCAUCACAGGGAACUUUGCAGUAAGAUCCCACUAUUGCUCCAAAUGAAAAUAUUCUUGCAGGUAGAAGCCAUCCUUUCUCGAGUUAAAUUAAGGACAACCUCUAUCCACAAGAUCUAAGCAAGGCUAAGAAUUUUUGUAAAUCAUAUUUUGAUACUUCACAGAAGUAUCUAUAAAGGUAUGGAUAUCAAGGAAAGCAAUGCAUCAAAGGGUUUCAAGCAAUUCCUGUGAACCUAAUGCACAUUUCACUAGACUUAAGUGUGCGAAAAGUAUUUAAAAACACAAGGAAAGGGGUUGCAUGCACC
rnacentral:lncRNA from 1 species